rnacentral:lncRNA from 1 species
UUUUUUUUUUUGUAUUCCUAUGAAAAAAUUUCAUAACAUAUAUAUAUAUUUUUUAUUAUUAUUAUUAUAAUUAUUACUAUAGUUAAAUGUAGAGAGCCAAAAUUGGGUGUCAACAACUGGGAAGUAUUUUUCCAUGAACACUUUAUACAAUUGAUCCCAUGUGUGAAUUGAGCUAUAAGGAAGCUCAGUAAACCAUACAGCAACAUCUCCGGUCAAUGAUAGAGGGAAGACUCUCAACCCAAUGACAUCCAUGUCUAAAUCUGGUCGACCCCCGCAACUCUUGCAAACACUACUCAACUUGGCCAUGUGCCCAUGUGGAUCCUCUGAUGCCAUACCAGAGAACAAAUCCCUCGCUGUAGGCAUCUACAUCAGACUGCUAGUCACCACGAAUGUAUGCCCCAGAGGUAGAGGAGGUAGAAUAAUAUGUACUUCAGAUUCAGCGGUGUUGAAGUUGAAUCUAUAGUUAUCAUGCAGCCUUGGUUCUGCUGGAUUUUGUACUGUAACACCCUAGAAAUUUUUUGAGCUAAGACUCGAACCGUUCUUCGUAGUGAGUGAGAUUUCUGCAAGGAAUUAAAAUUUUCCUAAGUUUUAAGGUCACUAGAUAUAGCACCUUGAGUUUCAAGAAGAACUUAAGAGAGUUCAUUCAAGUUAUUCUUAAGUUUUUCUUAAGUUUUGGGUCAAUUUCAAAUGACCAUAACUCCUAGUACAAGAUGAUUUAGGUGAGCUACAAGAUAUAAAAUUAAAUCCCUUUGAGUCUUCUUUCCAACGCCACCAAGUUUGCUAAAUUUUGAGCUCUCAGUAAAAAGUUAUGACGGAUUUACUAACGUCGCGCAAACCUGGUAGCAGCUCCGCGACGCGGAGCCAACACGGACCUCACUGCCUGGUGAAAAAUANNNNNNNNNNNNNNNNNNNNNNNNNNNNNNNNNNNNNNNNNNNNNNNNNNNNNNNNNNNNNNNNNNNNNNNNNNNNNNNNNNNNNNNNNNNNNNNNNNNNNNNNNNNNNNNNNNNNNNNNNNNNNNNNNNNNNNNNNNNNNNNNNNNNNNNNNNNNNNNNNNNNNNNNNNNNNNNNNNNNNNNNNNNNNNNNNNNNNNNNNNNNNNNNNNNNNNNNNNNNNNNNNNNNNNNNNNNNNNNNNNNNNNNNNNNNNNNNNNNNNNNNNNNNNNNNNNNNNNNNNNNNNNNNNNNNNNNNNNNNNNNNNNNNNNNNNNNNNNNNNNNNNNNNNNNNNNNNNNNNNNNNNNNNNNNNNNNNNNNNNNNNNNNNNNNNNNNNNNNNNNNNNNNNNNNNNNNNNNNNNNNNNNNNNNNNNNNNNNNNNNNNNNNNNNNNNNNNNNNNNNNNNNNNNNNNNNNNNNNNNNNNNNNNNNNNNNNNNNNNNNNNNNNNNNNNNNNNNNNNNNNNNNNNNNNNNNNNNNNNNNNNNNNNNNNNNNNNNNNNNNNNNNNNNNNNNNNNNNNNNNNNNNNNNNNNNNNNNNNNNNNNNNNNNNNNNNNNNNNNNNNNNNNNNNNNNNNNNNNNNNNNNNNNNNNNNNNNNNNNNNNNNNNNNNNNNNNNNNNNNNNNNNNNNNNNNNNNNNNNNNNNNNNNNNNNNNNNNNNNNNNNNNNNNNNNNNNNNNNNNNNNNNNNNNNNNNNNNNNNNNNNNNNNNNNNNNNNNNNNNNNNNNNNNNNNNNNNNNNNNNNNNNNNNNNNNNNNNNNNNNNNNNNNNNNNAGUUUUCUUAAAUCUAAACCCUCUCUUCCACUCCAAAGAUUCUACGCUCAAGGGAUUCAAAAAACGCUAAGACUAGGGUUCUUCUUUCCAGAUUUUCCUUCAAAUUCUUCAAGAAGAUGAUCCAUUCAGGUAUUUAAGCUUCCAUAAUGUUGGGUUUGUUCACCCACAUGCCAAUCAUGUUAAUUUCAUCUUUAAAUUCGUUCUAAAAGUUGAAGCUUUGAUGUUCUUGUUAUGUAUUCAUGAAUUUGCUUUCGUUCUUGAAUUGGGCUGAGAUUGAGGAGUUCUUGAGGUUAAUGUGUCAAUUUAUAGAGGGGUUAGAGUAAGAUUCUAGUGUUCAUGUGUUGGGUAUCUAAAUCUAAAGAGAGAUUGAGAAAAAGAAUCGAAGUUAGGUGAAUUGGGGUUAGAAAACGAAGAAGAAAUUUCGUCGGUCGAAAUUUGGAACCCCUUCCACGUCGCGCAACCUCUUUCCAAAUUUGGGAAUUUUUGUUUUGCGUUGAGGAGCUGACACAGAGUGUUCUGUCUCAAAAGUUGUUUUUGAAACCAAAAUUUAAAAACCUCUCCGCGUUGCGGACCCACCUUCAAAUAUUGAUUUUCAGUCUUUUCUCAUGUUUAGAUAUUUAAAAUCAUUCCUAAACAACAUGAGAUCCUUCCAAUCACAAAUCUUAAUCCUUGAAUCCAUAAUUCAAUUCAAGGAUCAGUUAAGGGUCAAGUCAAGAGCAAUUAAAAUCAAAGUCAAGAGAAGUCAAGAAUUAAGUCAAGAUAAGUUCUUAAUGUUUUUCAAAAGUCUUUCACAAAUGUUUGUAACUUCGUUUUAAGACUGAAAGUUUCAAGUUAAGGAAAGAGUAAAAAGUUGAGUUUAUUUCUCAAAAGCUAUUAGGGAACUAAGUAUUCCCAAAGAAGUUUUUAAAUAUUUUCACAUUUAAAUAAGAACAGAAACUGAGAUUUUCAAAGAGCCUUGGGGCUAGUUUUCAGAAAAGAGAAAUAACUUUCUAAAUAAAGCAAGCAGGGAAACUAAGAUUUCCAAGAUAGCCUUUGAGCUAAGUUUUUGAGCACUAAUCUCAAACCACAGAAGAAGUUAUUUUUUUUAUAAAAAAAAACAUAUGAACUACGUAUAUUUUUGGGAGUAGUAUUGAGCACCGAUAUGGGACGCAAGUUCAUAUUAACUCAAGUCUCCAUAACCAUGUAGCCAUCAUGGGUGAAAAGGGUCAUACAUUUUAGAUGAAUCCUUUUCGCAUAGACUAGUGGAUCCACUUAGUGAGUUAGCUUCCUAUAUAACCGCAAGGUAUAGGAUGGACCUCGGCAGCGUGAGGUAAAAUGAUGUAUCAUCACUAUAGUUCUUAAGUGAUGGUUGUCGGUUAGAGAAACUCCCACAACAGUAGUAGCAUGGUUCCUCAAGGGGUUCUGCUUAGUGUGAAUGGGGGAAUGAGACUUCAUUCAUGCAUUGCACAAGUAGACUUUGAGAGGGAACGUGCUAUAUUUUUAUGAUAUUAUGACUAUGAUUUUGAUGUCAUGUUUUAAAUAGUUUUACAAGCUUUAUAUAUUGCAUGUGUCUUAUUGCUUUAUAUUUAGUUCAGUUAUUCAAGAGUCGAGUGUCCUUGAGUUAAAUAUCUUUGAGUUGAGUAUCUAUCUUUUAGUUGAGUAUAUAUCCUAUGGUGAGCCUCCUUGUUUUCGGAGGAUUUCAUUUCCUUUUCAGUUUAGUCAGGAUGUCGUGGGUCUUGUCCCGACUUCCAUCAUUAUCAGUUAAGAGGCCUCAUAGAUAGUCAGUAUAGUUGAGAAGUCUGUAUUAUUCAUUUAUUUUAUUAAAUGUUUUAAAGACUAAGUGCCUAUUUUAUGGCGAGUUGAAUAUAUUAUUUUAUUCUAAGUUGUUCAUUUGAGUUAGAGUUUUGAAAAGUUGAGUUUAUUAAAUUUUAUUCAGUUUUAAGCUUUGUAUGCUUGAGUUAGUCUUCCGCUUGUAGUCAGCCAAGAUGAGGAUUUGCUUGGGGACCAACAAUGAUCUUCGAGUGCCGGCCACGUCCAGGGUGUAGGCUUGGGUCGUGACAUGUACCCUCAAUGCAUCUCCCAGUAGAUUCUCACCUUGAACCUGAACAUUCUCAUUACCAUCCCUAGGAGGCUGCAACUCAACUCCAUCACCUAGAUUUCCUCCUAUAGGAUUGGCUGGGACCCGUUGUGUAUUCAUCCUUCACAAAGUUUUGUUCAAUUCUGAAUUGUAAGGAAUCAGUGGUUCACCUUGACUCCGUGUACUUGGCAUACACUAGAGUAGGAACCCGAGAGAAACAAAAACAAAAGAAAAAGUAAAAUUAGGAAAUAAUUGACUAAAGUUCAAUAAUGUAGUUAAACUUAAUCUAAAAGCCUUAUUCCCCGGCAGUGGCGCCAAAAUUUGAUACGCUCAAAUUAGACAUCCCUAAAGAAGUAUAAGCGAUCGUUAUCAAGUAAAGAACCCAACUUGGAGGUUGGGGUCGAUCCCACGAGGAAUAUGGUUUAGACUUAACUUACAAAUAACUAAUUGUUGUUUAGAGAGCAAGUUAGCAAGAUUCAAACUUUAGUUGUUAUCAAUGGGAGAAAGAAACUAGGGUGUAAGUGUUCCCCAUAAGCUUAUAACGUAGUAAUCCUAGUAAUAGUAAUCCUUUCCUAGUGUAUUACAUGCAAAGUNNNNNNNNNNNNNNNNNNNNNNNNNNNNNNNNNNNNNNNNNNNNNNNNNNNNNNNNNNNNNNNNNNNNNNNNNNNNNNNNNNNNNNNNNNNNNNNNNNNNNNNNNNNNNNNNNNNNNNNNNNNNNNNNNNNNNNNNNNNNNNNNNNNNNNNNNNNNNNNNNNNNNNNNNNNNNNNNNNNNNNNNNNNNNNNNNNNNNNNNNNNNNNNNNNNNNNNNNNNNNNNNNNNNNNNNNNNNNNNNNNNNNNNNNNNNNNNNNNNNNNNNNNNNNNNNNNNNNNNNNNNNNNNNNNNNNNNNNNNNNNNNNNNNNNNNNNNNNNNNNNAUUUGUAGAUUUAGUUACCCAUAGUAGCAAGAACACAAUUCAUAUUUUUAGAUGAAAAAAUCAUGAACUUACGUAAUAAGUAGAAGAAACCCAGAAUCUCAACUUGAAUUUCAAAGUCAAAAUCUUCAAAACGAACUUAGGAAAUCAAGAAUUGCUAAAAUUGCAAGUUAAUCUCCAAAGACAAAAACUAGAACUAAAGUAAUAAGGUCUAACCCCUAAAAAUGAGGUUUACAUGCCCUAUAUAUAGAAAAACAUAUCCCAAAUUAAAAGGAAACGAAAUAAGGAAAUAAAGUUUUUGGACGUGGUUGCAGUCGGCGACACUGACCUACGGAUCGUGGACUGACCUACGGUCCGUAAGUCCUUUCCGUGGUUUGGGACUUAGGCAAUUUUUCAGAAGCCUGGAACUCCAAUUUUCAGUAACGAAUGACGGCUCAACAGCACGGACCGUGACUCAAUCCAUGGUCCGUUGAUCCCCCUUCUUGGUCUCAUACUUAGUUUGAUAAAAAUUAAGUACUGGAACACCUUCUCUGAUUCAAUUAACGAACUUGCAGGACUGGCCGUAUGUCAAACUAUGGUUCGUCGAUCAUGGUUGUGUUUCCACACUUAGUCAAGAAUUCCCUGAUUAUUUCUUCAAGCCUUUCCUAUCAAUCUACGCCCUGCACCUACGAAAAGUGACUGGACCUACGGUCCGUAGGUCAAGUCUAUAGGUGGCGAUUUCUGCAACAUUUCUUCAGCUGUCUCCUAACUUCCUCGUCCGAACUUAUUUCCUGCAAACAAGAUCAAAACAUAUUAAUACCAAUACAAAAUGGCUCUAGACACACACAACUCUUAAGUGAAAUGUAUUAAAAAUAUCAUAAAUUCAUGGUAUAUCAGAAGCACCUUGAGAAUCUUUCGAACUUGUUUGCUUGGUUGAAUAGGCUCACCAAGACAUCUCAGUUCAUUGGUUAUGGAAGUGAAUCUUGUAUUCAUCUCGUGAAUGGUUUCACCUUCCUUCAUAUAGAAGUUCUCAUAUUGAUUCGUUAGCAUAUCGAUCUUAGACUCCUUUACUUGUGUCGUUCCUUCAUGGGCUGUUUUGAGACAGUCCCAUAUCUCUUUAGCUGUCUCGCAAGCAGAGAUUUUGUUGUACUCAUCUGAGCCGAUUCCACAUACCAUAAUCUUCUUCACUUUAUAGUUCUUCUCUUUCUUCUUUAUGUCCACUUCAUUGUAUUCCUUUCUGGUUUUGGGGAUUACCUUAGUAAGCUCUCCAUAUAUCACUUCUUUGGUGGGAAUGUAAGGUCCGUCAAGAAUCACAUCCCACAGCUCAUGUCUUCAGCAUUGAUGUAGUCAUGCAUGCGAUUCUUCCACCAACCAUAAAAUUGUCUAUUGAAAUGAGGUGGUCUGGUGGUUGACUAACCUUCUUCCACAUUGGGUGGAGCAGCCAUUCCUUUAGGAUCUUUUCUUUUCUUGGUUUUACCCAAAUAGAAAAGUACCGCUCUGAUACCACUUGUUGAAAUGUAUGUGUCCACUAAUUACGAUGUGACCAGGUCCUUAACACCAUUACGAUGAACAGAAAAUAAAUAGUGAAGGUAAAGAUAGCACACGCAUAUGUGGAAACCUCCUUGCUCAAGAGAGUAAAACCACAACCUGUCUCACAGGAUUUUCAAACUGCUUUUACUAAACUUCACAAGGCAAAGUAAAACCCAGUUUACAACACAGACGGGAUUAACCUCCUAAUCUAUAUUUUGAGUAAUACAUUAUCACUCAAUGAGCAAAAGCAAUGCCUGUAUUUCCCACUAUACUAACCCAACUGAUUAAUAUCGACUUUGACGUAAGACACGAAGUUACCCUCAACAAAGUUCUUACAAUGAUUCACCCAAGAUUGAAAUGUUUCUAUCACAAGCGAAAUAAUUCCUACAAUAUAAGCACAAAUACAAGAAAUCAAAGUAACAGCUAGUUCAGGAAGCAAUUAGGUAAUCUAUAAGGUCCCUUCUUGUUUUUUGAAGCUUGAAUGUCUCUCUUUGCAUGAAUGAAUGAUUUGUUGUUUGUCAUCUUGAAUAUAUCAAACAUUAAGAGUUAAUACACAUCAGACAAACAACCUCGUCCCUUCUGAUUGGUGUAGUACACUGACGACCUCACCAACUUCUGACGCAGACAGCUUUCUAGCUGUACAACAUAUGAACCUGGACGAACAUACUCUGCAGAGGACCAGGUCCCUGCAUUUGUGAGGAGAUCAUCAAAACAUCUGGGAGCAUUAAGACUUAUCAAAUGAUCAUUCAUACGGAAGAGGAACUGAUCUAUAAGGUACAAUUCCCAUAGCAUCUUUAUCAAGUUCAUUUGUUACAAAUGAUGGAGAUGCAUAAAAAAUAUAAGGUUGAUCUCCAUCUAAGUCUGGAUCCAUUGAUUUCCUUCCAUGGACUUCUAGUAUAUCAACAACUCUAUUAGCCUCCCGCAGAAUAUAUUUUAGCAGCUGGCAUUCCAUCUGGAGUAGCAAUGACCUGCAAUCAGAGUAAAUAUGUGAGAGUAGCGAGUUAUUACUAUUUAAAGUGUUGGGUUUUAUUUGCCCUGAAUUUCUUACCAUAAAUAGGUUUUCCUUUUAGGAAAAGGUUUAGGACUGGCUAGUCCUUUUCUGGUAGGAAAAGGUUUAGGACUCUAUAAAUAGAGGUUUGUUCCUUCCAACUUAAUCAACAUUCACAAUGUAGUUCUAGGGGCUUUGAGAGUUUUGGUUAGGGGGAGAAAUUGUGGGACACAAGCUUGAUACAUUAUCACUUGUGUGAACCUCUCAUGUAUUCCGAGUGAAUUGGUUGAGGUUAUUUCUCUCUAUAUUUCGUACUCUCACAUUUAUAUAGUGGGUUGCUCAUCUCCUUUGUGGAUGUAGGUCGAUUGACCGAACCACGUUAAAUCUUUGUGUCUUUUGGUAUAUUUCUUGUUUGUAUUCUUACUCAUGGUCUUUCGAGGUUUGCUUUGCUAUCUUCCGCAUGACACCUAAUUAUUUUCGGUUCUAACAUAAAGUGUUUAGUAGAACCCGCGAGUCAGUUUCUACCAUAAGGUAAUUCAUAUUUUUCCUUUUAGCUAGAUUUAGCCCAUGAAGAAGAGCUAAAUUUUCCGCGUGGUGAGCAUUAUUAACUCUAACCUUGCAAGUGAAACCCAUAAUCCAAUCACCCAUGUGAUUUCUUAUUACUCCUCUCGUACCUCCACUAUUGGUAUUGGGAUCAAAGGAACCAUUUAUAUUAAGCUUGAUGCAUCCUGCAAGCACCGAAGGAAAUAUCUUGAUUGUUGAAAGCAGGGCCAGGAACAUUUUUGUUUUUGAAGAGCUUAUUAUUUCUAUUUUUUGAGAUAUUCCAGAGGAUAAAAGGAGUUAGGAUAGCAGUAGGCACACUUUGAUGAGAAUUGACUAGAGUAAUAGUUUUAGAGCAGCAUGACUGUUGAAUGUUGUUGUGAGAGUCUUGAUUAUUUAUGGUACUGUCAAAAUUGUUCCAGGCGUACAAAGAGGCUUUUGGGCAAUCAGCAAAAAUGUGUAUGGUGUUUUCUUCCACAUUCAGGCAUGUACGUUGUUACAAAACGAGACAGAGAAACACAAGAAAAUCUGGAGAAUUAAUAAUUCUAUUCAUCAUUGAAUAAAAGAGACUACAACCAUAUUUGUACACCAGAAGUUAAGAAGUAAAAGGAAAUAAAAUACCUAUAAUGUCUAAAUAUAUACUUUACCAUACUUAAUAUAUUUAAAUAUAUAUUCUACGCAUAUUUAGAAUUUUUAUACAAUAUUUACCAAAUUUUCACAUCACCCCUCAAACUCAAGAUGGUUUAGAAGAAAUCAAAUUGAGUUUGGCCACCGUAACUUGGAAAUGUCUAGGAAGAUGAGGCUUGGUGAAAACAUCAGUUGGUUGAUCUAAGGACCCAAUAGAAGCUAAUCAAAUGGCACUAAGAUCAAUUUGAUGACGAGUAAAAUGACAAUCAAUCUCAAUAUGCUUUGUACGCUCAUAAAAUACCUCAUUAUGAGCAAUUUGAAUGGCACUAUGAUUAUCACAAUAAAGAGCAGUGGCAGAAGAUUGAGGAACACUCAUGUCAGCCAAUAACCAACAAAGCCACAAUAUCUCAGCAGUAGUAUCACCAAGUGCGCAAUAUUCUGAUUCGGUACUUGAUGGGGAUGCUAAGGUUUGUUUCUUGCUUCUCCACGAUAUAAGAGAAUCUCCUAGAAAAAUACAAUAACCAGUAGUAGAAAGUCUAUCAAUAGGAUCUCGUCCCCAAUCAGCAUCAACAUAUGCUUUUAAUUCAAGAGAAAAAUUGGCUGAAAAGUGAAGUCCAUGGAACAUAGUACUUUUGACGUAAAUUCGCAGAACAACAGCAUAAUGAGUGGAGCGAGGUGCAGCCAUGAAUUGACUAACUAUGUGAACAGCAUAAGCAACAAUAUCUGGACGAGUAACUGUCAGAUAGAUAAGACUACCUACAAGUGUCCGAUAAAGAGUGGCAUUAGACAAUAAAGUACCAUCGGUUGGAGAAAACCGCACAUUAGGCUCAAGAGGUGUGCUCUCAAUUUUAUUAUCGCUAAUACCUGCUUUUGAUAACAAAUCAGUAGCAUACUUAACUUGAAAUAGAGAAAUCCCAUUAUCAGAUGUGAGAACUUCGAAGCCCAAGAAAUAGUUGAGAGACCCGAAAUCCUUCAUCUCAAAAUUAGUACUCAAAAAUUCUUUAACCUCUGAAAUACCAGCAAUAUCAUCACAAGUAAUAAUCAUAUCAUCCGCAUAAAGAAUCAAAAGAACAAUACCUUGUGUUGUCUUGCGUACAAAAAGAGCAGUAUCAUGUGGGCUAGAAGAGAAUCCAUAUUUGCUCAAUGUUGAACUAAACUUUGCAUACCAAGCUCGUGGAUCUUGUUUCAAACCAUAUAAUGCACAGUGAAGAUGGCAUACUUUAUUUGGAGGACAAUUGUAUCCUGGUGGAGGUUUCAUAUAAACUUCCUCCUCCAAAUCUCCAUUAAGAAAAGCAUUUUUAACAUCCAUUUGAGAAAGUCCCCUCCGUUUAGCUGCUGCAAUAAAAAGAAGGUCACGGACAGAGGUAACACGAGCUACUGGAGCAAAGGUCUCCUCAUAAUCAAUUCCAUAUUCUUGGGUGAAUCCUCGAGCAACUAAUCGAGCCUUGUAUCUUUCAACAGAGCCAUCAGAUCGUGUCUUGAUUUUAUAGAUCCAUUUGCAAUCAACAAGAGUUUUAUCAAAAGGAGGAUCAACUGAGUCCCAAGUAUGAGUUUUUUCAAAAGGCCUACAACUCUUCUUUCAUAGCUUGCUGCCAACAAGGAUCACUAGAUGUCUCUUUGUAUGUACCAGGCUUAUGUAAAUUAAGCAUGGUACAAUAACAUUAAUAAUCACGAAGAUAACUAGGAGGGAUUUUUUUUCUCUUUCUGGAAGGAUAGAUGAAGUGUUAUUAGGAAGAAGAGAAAAUGAGGGUACCUUGAAAUCAACAUUCAUAUCAAGAGUGGAACUAUCAAUUGGAGAUUGAUCAUGAGAAUUGGACGUUGUACUAUUUUCAUGAACUGGACCAUCAGAUGGGCCUGCAUCAAGGGAAAUAGUUGAACUGUGGGGUACAAUGUCUGACUCACUAGAUGAAUUUGCAUUAAGAUCACUUUGAAAAAGCUCAACAGAAGGAUUAGAAAAGAAUAUCACUUUGCUUGAUGGAAUAGACUCAAACUUUGACAAUGAGGAAAAUUUAAUAUGUUCCCAGAAAACAACAUGUCGAGAAAUACGAAUACGAUUUGACACAGGAUCCCAACACCGGUAACCUUUAUGUUCUAUCCCAUUUCCUAGAAAGAAAGAAACUAGAGCACGAGGUUCUAAUUUUGUUUGUUCAUGUGGUUGAAGAAGAACAAAACAAGCAGAGCCAAAUACUUUAAGUAAUGUGUAGUCAGGAGCUACCUUGUAAAGACGUUUAUAAGGAGAUAUGUUUCCAAGAAUAGGAGAUGGGAGUCUAUUGAUAGUAAACACUGCAGUAAGAGCUGCUUCACCCCAAAAGAGCUUAGGGCAAGAUGAAUAAAUAAUCAUGGCCCGAACAGAAUCAAGGAUAUGCCUAUGCUUACAUUCAACUCGUCCAUUUUGUUGGGAGGUACCGAGACAAGAGAAUUCAGAAAGUGUACCAUUUACAGAUAAGAAAUUCAAAAGUUUAGAAUCACGAUAUUCCAAGGCAUUGUCACGCCGUAAAACUUUGAUAGUUUUACCAAAUUGAGUUUUAACCAUAUUGGUAAAAUUAAUAUAGAUUUGAGGUAGUUCCGAAUGACUUUUCAUAAGAUAUAUCCAUGUGUAUCGAGAAAAAUCAUCGAUAAAAAUUACAAAGUAUCGUGAUCCAAUCAUGCUUGAUACAGGGGAAGGUCCCCAAACAUCAGAAUGUAUUAAGUCAAAAGGGAACUUUGAAAUAGAAGGAUUUUUAUUAAAAGGUAAAGCAGGUUGUUUGGCAUGUUUACAUGCAAUACAAUCCAAAUUUUUCUCAUUAACAUGACCUAAAAACCCACUGGAAACUAAAGAACGAAGUUUACUCAAAGAACAAUGAAAAAAAUGUUGAUGCCAUAAUGACAAAGGAACACUAAAAGAAACAACACAUAAUCGAGACACGGGAGAUGAUUGGGGAAUAUGAAGACUAGUGAGUUCAAACAUUCACCCAACUUUAUGGCCUUUCCCAAUGAUUUGUCCCGUCAGAAGGUCCUGCACUCGACAACCACGAGAAGAAAAAAUUACAUCAUAUCCCAAAUCACAUAAUUAUCCAACAGAGAUAAGAUUAAAAUUAAAAUUUGGAAUAAGGAAUGUAUCAGGCAAAGAGAAAUCUGAUGAAGAAAUAGAUCAUUUAUGACUAACAUUCAUAUUAGAUCCAUUAGCAGUAUGGAUGGAUGAUGGGAUAGAAAUUAUAUCCAGGUCAGAGAAAAUCUUGGAAGAAUACGUCAUGUGAUUACAACAUGCUGAAUCAAAGUACCAAGAUGAAUUACAUGAAGGAGUAACUAGAGUUGCACGAUUGUUACUAGUUGGAGAAAGGAGUUGACUAAGGAGAGCUUGAAGGUCAAUUGAUGAAGUUCCAGAAUUGUUGGUUACUGCAAGAACAGGAUUUGACGACUGAUUCAAACGAGAUUGAUUUUUGUUCUAAGGACGAGUAGGACAAUUCUCAAUCAAGUGAUCUUCCUUUUUACAGUACCUGCGAAUUGGAGGACAAUUCCUAGAUAUAGGUCCCUUCUUCUUACACUUAUUACAUUCAAUAACUGCGCAGUUGUGUAAGGCAUGACCAGUUGACAACAAUUGCGACAAAAUUUGGCACCAAUUCUGUUAGUGGCUGCAAAACUGAGUUAUCCACUGGUCGCGUAAGAUCCAAACGAGUUUCUUCAAAUUUUAGGUGAGGAAGAGCAUUUUCAAGAGUUGGCAAAGGUUGUUGGUUAAGCAAUGCAGCCCAGGUUGGUUCAUAAUCAUCAGUAAGAACCAUCAAGAAUUGAAUCAAUUUAUCAUUGUUGUGGUAAGCUAAAAAUUUAGCAGCAGUAUCAGAAUUUCUAAAAACGGGUUCAGUCAUGGUUAAUUGAUUCCAGAUGGAUUCCAUCUUCGACAGAAAUUCAUAGACAGGUUCUCCAUUUUUUUGUUUCAAGCUGGCUAUCUCCUUCAUCAAUUGAUAACGAUGAGAAAGAUCAUAAGUAGUAUAUCAUUGAGAGAGAUGAUCCCAUACCUCUUUUGUAGUGUCGAAUUGUCCAAAUUAGAGGUGAAUACUUGGAACAAAAGUAUUUCGAAGCCAUGUAAUAAUUUGAUGAUUUCGGCUAUCCCAAUCUUCUAAACUGUCAACAAACUUUUCAUUUGUUUCAGUCUCAGUUUGCUUUGGACAGGUUAAAUCACAUGUGACAUAUCGCCACAACUUUCUCCCUUUCAAAAAAUUAUGCAUUGCCUCACACCAAUGACGAUAGUUAGAUCCAUUGAGAACAACGAAAAUAAGUUGAGAAAUAUCAUUCUUCUCCAUCAUAUUCGCUCAAAAAAUUAACGUCAACAAACCAAAAAAAAAAACUGAAAGACAGUAGAGACCCAACAAAGUGAUGAUGCAGUAAUUGCAAUCAACAAAAUACCACGAGAAAAAAUAGAAUAGUGAAUAUGGAUUUCAAAAAUCUGAGGAGGCUCUAAUACCAUGUUACAAAACGAAACAGAGAAACACAAGAAAAUUUGGAGAAUUAAUAAUUCUAUUCAUCAUUGAAUAAAAGAGACUACAACCAUAUUUGUACACAAGAAGUUAAGAAGCAAAAGGAAAUAAAAUACCUAUAAUGUCUAAAUAUAUACUUUGCCAUACUUAAUAUAUUUAAAUAUAUACUCUACCCAUAUUUAGAAUGUCUAUACAAUAUUCACCAAAUUUUAACAUACGUAAAGCAAGUAUUUAUUGCGGUGAUAAUUUUAUAAGCUAAGGCAGAGGAAGUUGGCAGCUUGUCUAGUAGUAGCAGCCACAUAAAAAAAUUUAGUAUGGUAAUAGUUUUAAACUUCCAGAUCCAACAAUGUUUUGAAUUGUAGGUAUUAUUAUUGAUCGUUAGGUAUAGGUUAUAGGCACUCCUAGAGCUAAAUUUUCCGUCCAAACUUAGGUUCCAGUAGAAAGUAUCCUUAUUUUUUGGGAUAGACGUUUGGGUGUAAGUAUUUAAAAUAUUGUCUUUGAUGUGAUUGGGAAUAUCGACGGAAAGACCUGAGAAAUCUCAAACCUUAUUGGAUACACUAUAACAAAUUUGAUUAUUAGUGACAAAUAAUUUUGUCACUAGAAACUCACAUUUCAUCACAAAAAGAAUUUUGUGACGAAAAAUAAUUCGUCAUGCAUUCGUCCCUAAAGCAUGGGUCACUAAAUGUAUACAGAGACAAUUUAGUGUUUCGUCACUAAAUAGAAAUGUAUUAACUAUGAAAAUAUAUUUGUUCCUAAAUGCUUCGUAUUUAUGACAAAUUUGUUCGUCAUAAAAAUUAUUAAAAUUUGUAGGUGAAGAUAUAUUUUUUUCACUAAAUAGAUUAUUAUAGCCCACGAAAAUGAUGUGUCACUAACUAUUUAGUUUAAUUAGUGACGAUGUCAUUUGUCUCUAAUAUUUUGUGUAUUUCGUAGUCAAGCAAAUAAUAUUUCGUCACUAAAAACUACUUUUUACAUACAAUUUUUUUGUUGUCCCUAAAGGUAAAAAUUAGUGACAACAUUAUAAUUAAAUAAUUUUGUAGUUGAAACAGUCAUGUCGUCACUAAAAGUAAUUUUUUUACCGACAAAAUAAAAUUGUCACUAAAAAAUUUAAUAAAUAAGCAGGAAAUUUUUGGGACAAAAAAUUUUUUUGUCACGGAAUGUCAUACUUUAAUGACGAAAAUGUUAUCAUCUUAAAAAAAUAAUGUAUUCGUCACUAAAAAUUGAGCUUUGAAGUUAAAAUGUUCUGUCACUAAUGACAUUUAAACUUGUAGCAAUACUAUUUACAAUUCGUAUUAAGCUAGGUCUCCGUAAAUUUAAAAUUUAUUAAAAAAUUAAAAUUAUUAAAUAAUAUAAAUAUAUUAAACUUAAUAGCAUGGAGCAAUUUUUUUUAAUAAUGAGCAUCAUACACUACACAAAUUAAAAUUAACAACAUACUAAAAGAAUUAUAAAGAGAAUCAUAUAGAUUAAAAAUAACAACAUACCAAAAGAGAAAGCUAAAAAAAAAAUUACACAUUGUCUGUCAUUUCUCUUAUAUUAGAAAGGCUUGUUCAACAUGCCUGCUUCAUUGAUGUAAAGGGUAUUUCUGUCUUUUCACUUUCAUAUUAUAACUACGUGUCUGACUCCUGUGUUAUCAAUUUACACCUCACUUUGUAUGUCUUCAUCAUUUAUACUCCACCGUCAGUGUACAUCAAGGUUCCUCUGUUUCCUUCAGAAUUCCAUCUAGGUAAGAUUCUUUUCCUCAAAAUUGAAGUUCGGGAACCAAAUUUGAUCUGGGUGUCUAAAAAUUUGUUUAUUUUCCUUGUGUUUAGGAAGUCCCAAUAAUUUUAAUCGAUAUGCUUUCAAUUUUGGCUGGGUGAUUAUGGUUUCCGUAUUCUAUUUUGGAUUCAUGUUUCAUAUUUUUGUUGUGUUUCUCACAUGCAGUAAUUAAUUUGGUAUUUUCCGUCAAAAUUAACUUUGUGGUUUAUUUUAGUUGGGUUUUUUUUAUCAGAACUCUUUUCAACUUCCUCCAUUCAUAUAUGGUCUUCUUCACCUGAAUCAAUUUUCUGGGUUUUUGUGAUGUUCGAUUUUUCUUGUGUUUGGGAAGUCCCAAUAAUUUUAAUCGAUAUGCUUUCAAUUUUGGCUGGGUGAUUAUGGUUUCCGUGUUCUAUUUUGGAUUCCCGUAUCAGAUUUUUGUUGUGUUUUCUCACAUGCAGUAAUUAAUUUGGUCUUUUUCCAUCGAAAUUAACUUAAUGGUUUAUUUUAGUUGGGUUUUCUUUAUCAGAACUCUUUUCAACUUUCUGCGUUCAUAUGUGGUUUUCUUCAUCUGAAUCAAUUUUCUGGUUUUUGUGAUGUUCUAUUUUCCUUGUCUUUUGAAAGUCCCAAUAAUUUUAAUCGUUACACUUUCAAUUUUGGUUGGGUGAUUAUGAUUUCCGUGUUCUAUUUUGGAUUUCUGUUUUAGAUUUUUGUUGUGUUUUCUCACAAGCAGUAAUUAAUUUGGUCUUUGGGUUUUCUUUAUAAGAAUUUUUUUGAAGUUCCUUCGUUCAUAUAUGGGUUUUUCAUCAGAAUCAAUUUAUGGGUUCUUGUGGGUUGGUUUGGAGUUUCUUCACCUUAUUGCAAUGACAUUUUCUAUCACGACCCAGACCGUCAUGAUUGGCACCCACACUAACUCUCGGGUAGGAGAACCACUACUACAACCCAAACCAAGCAACUCAAUCAAAACUAAGGCAUUUAAGUUACAGAAGCAAGUUAAAUACAAAGAAAAUAAAUAGAGUUACCAUAAAGCCUAACAAUAAUAAACUAACAUUGAAGAAGUAAUGCCUAGAACCUAAAGGUCAAUGUACCAAAACAUCUAAAAUUCAACAAGUCUAAACAAGAAGGAAUGCAACCCCAAUCUAAUGGACUAAUCAACUAACUAGAACAUAGUCUAAGUUCGGAAAUGGUGGACAUAGACGAAAGAGAACCCAUGGCAGCCCGGAAGAAUUGGCUCACCCUUGAAUUCGAACGAUCAUUAACCUCCUAAGCGAGGUUUGUCAGUAGCUACUUGAAGAUGGCUUUUACUCAACAAAAAUAAGAGCAAGUGCAGUAUCAGUACGCAACCACAGUGUACGGGUAGGAUCACGCGGCUAUCCCACUAAGUGCAACAUACAUAAGUCAAAUAACAAUAUAAUCACAUGCAUAUAUCGAACCUUUACAAUAUCAUCAACAUUUACGAAUAACGAACAACUUCACAUGUCUCAAAAUACACAAUUAUGGCAAGUCAUUGGUCCUCUCAUGGAACUCAAACCCAAACAGUUAGCAUACCAGAACGUGGUACCCGAUACAAUGAUUAUGCCAGAACUUGGCAACCGAUCCCAUAAUUAUGCCGGAACGUGGCAAUCGAUCCAAGUUAGUUAUGUCGGAACGUGGCAACCGAUCCAUUCAACACACCACAAUCACAAUCACAAGUAUAUCCUCAAGAUCAUACAAUUAAGUCUUGAUUUCAUGGUAACCAUUAUUCAUCUACCUCAUUACAACAAGUGUGAUCAAUAAUGCAACAUUCAUAUACAUACAUGUAUCAUAAUGAAGCAAGAACAAACAUACAUCACACAAUCAUGAAUCACAACCAUCACCUACCUUGAAACAAGCUUGAAACCCUAAGAAACUUGAUCCUUCCCUUUCCGAAUUCGUUUCGCUUGUUCUUGGUCUACAAACAAUCAUAAUGACACUAGAAUCAAUAAACAAUCACUAAUUACCCCAAUUACUAACAAUUCUAACAACCCUAGAUCAUCCCCAUGAUCCCAAGUGUCCAAAAUAAGGUUGUAUCCAUCAUAGAAUCUAGAUCAAAACCCUCCCCCGUCAUUAAUUGUUCAUUCUAUUACGUUAUACGAAUCGAAAAAUGGAUUCGGGGAGUGAAAAGUUUACCUUUAGCCUCAAGAAUGGUGGAAAACUAUUAGGAGUCACCUGGGGUUCGUUCUUUAGUUCUAAAAAUCAAAAAGUGUAGGAAUAGGUCGUUUAGGGAUUUAUUUACGACCUUAAGUCACGUCGAACCCUCCACCGUGGCCCUCACCCCGUUGUGGCGGCCCCGUCAGAGCGACCAAAAGCUCCGCCAGAGCAGCUUGCACGAACCAGUGAGCUAUUUAAAGAAUUCCUAAAUUCUCAUUUCACAACACACUUCUAACCAACGACGCUCAGAAAAUACCCAUUACGCUAAGGUCGAUUUCGGGAGUUCUACUCGCCCAAAUUCAAUUCCGUAAAGUCGUACGGAUUCCUUAACGAGUUAUCUAACCACUCAUUUAACCGAAAGUAUAAAUAAAUCACCCGAUUGUUACCAGAUUUUCCUACACCUUAAAGACUUCGAUUUCGUCCAAAUCUAGACAAGGUUGGGAAAAUCUAAAUACUACGAAAAAGUUUUCCGCUCCCAAAUUUUCCCCCGUUGACAUUUCUAUAACGACGGAAAUAGGUCGUUACAAUAGAUACCAAUUUACCCAUCACUCGACCCCGAGUGACAAAACUUUGGAAAAUAGACUAAGGAAAGAAUAAAGUAGUAUCUGAAUCGACGAACAAUUGGGGAUACUUGUCUCGCAUGUCCCUCUCGGUUUCCCAAGUAGCUUCCUUAACUGGACGAUGCUUCCAUUGAAAUUUCACGGACUUAAUCUCCUUGGUCCUCAACUUAUGCACAUCACGAUCAAGAAUUGCAACCGGUUCCUCCUCAUAUUGAAGGUCUUUGUCUAACACAAUUGAGUCUCACUUAAUGAUAUAAUCCCCGUCACCAUGAUACCCUUUCAACAUUGACACAUUAAAUAUCGGAUGAACACCCGAUAGAUUAGGAUACGCUUCCGGCCUCACACAUUCAAGAACCUCAAAUGGACCAAUGUAUCGCGGACUUAGCUUGCCCUUCUUGCCAAAUCUCAUUACCCCUUUCAUGGGUGAUACCUUAAGAAGAACAUUUCCACCGGUUUGAAAUGUCGUGUCUCUUACCUUAUGAUCCGCAUACUUUUUUUGUCUACUCUAGGCUGUUAAAAGCUUAGCUUGAAUACUCCUCACCUUUUCUUGAGCAUCCUUCAUUAAAUCAACCCACAAAGGUUUCACAUCCCCAGCCUCGAACCAUCUUAUUGGUGAUCUACAUCCCCUACCAUAGAGUGCCUCACAUGGUGACAUAACUAUGCUGGAGUAAUAACUAUUAUUAUAGGAAAAUUCACACAAAGGUAGGAACUUAUCCCCAUGCCCUCCAAAAUCAAUCACACAUGCCCUCAACAUGUCUUCUAGCACUUGAAUAGUCCUCUCUGACUGCCCAUCUGUCUGUGGAUGGAAGGUUGUACUAAAGGUGAGUUGUGUGCCCAAUUCAUCAUGUAAUUUCCUCCAAAACUUAGAUGUGAAUUGGGUACCACGGUCUGAGAUGAUAGAGAAGGGCACCACAUGCAACCUCACUAUCUCUUUCACAUACACCUUAGCCAAUUGUUCAGCAUUAUAAUCUAUUCUUACCGGAAUAAAAUGGGUUGAGUUAGUCAAUCUAUCAACCACUACCCAAAUAGAAUCAAACUUCCCCAAAGUCUUGGGAAGACCAACCACGAAAUCCAUGGCUAUCCUCUCCCACUUUCAUUCUGGAAUUGGCUUUCUUUGAAACAAACCUGUAGGUCUUUGGUGUUCAUAUUUCACUUGUUGACAAUUUUUACACUUCGCCACAAACUCCGAUAUGUCCUUCUUCAAGCCAGGCCACCAAUAAAUUCGCUUCAAAUCUCGGUACAUCUUGGUCACACCCGGAUGGAUAGAAUAUCACGAACCAUAAGAUNNNNNNNNNNNNNNNNNNNNNNNNNNNNNNNNNNNNNNNNNNNNNNNNNNNNNNNNNNNNNNNNNNNNNNNNNNNNNNNNNNNNNNNNNNNNNNNNNNNNNNNNNNNNNNNNNNNNNNNNNNNNNNNNNNNNNNNNNNNNNNNNNNNNNNNNNNNNNNNNNNNNNNNNNNNNNNNNGCUUUUGGAAGCUCUCCUCACAUUUUUCAGUCCAUUCAAAUGGUAUCUCAUUUUUGGUCAAAUUAGUCAAGUGCAUGGCGAUAGAAUGCCUAACUGCAUGAACUUAGACUCUAAGGUCUGAAUUUCCUUAACUAAAGGUCGUUUGGAUGCACUCAAGCAAGCUAAACUACCCAUACUCACCGCCUUUCGACUCAAAGCGGCUGCCACUACAUUAGCCUUACCCGGAUGGUAAUGAAUGGUGACAUCAUAAUCUUUAAGUAACUUCAUCCACCUUCGUUGUCUCAAAUUCAGAUCAUUUUGAGUGAACACAUGUUGCAAACUGCGAUGAUCAGUACACACUUCACACUUAACACCAUAGAGGUAAGCCGCCAGAUCUUAAGAGCAAACACUACCGCUGCCAACUCCAAAUCAUGUGUUGGAUAAUUCUUCUCAUGUAUCUUUAACUAACGUGAGGCAUAAGCUAUAACAUUCUUAUCCUGCAUCAACACCGCACCCAAACCAGAAUGUGAAGCAUCACAAUAAACAAUAAAAUCUUUACCUUCAACCGGUAAUGCUAGAAUAGGCGGGAUGGUCAAAAGAGUCUUGAGCCUUUGGAAGCUCUCCUCACAUUUUUCAGUCCAUUCAAAUGGUAUCUCAUUUUUGGUCAAAUUAGUCAAGUGCAUGGCGAUAGAAGCAAAGUUCUUCACAAAUCGAUGAUAAUAGCUAGCGAGCCCCCACAAAACUCUUAACUUCAGUCACAGAACUUGGUCAAACCCAAUUCUUAACCGCCUCAAUCUUUUGAGGAUCUAUCAUUACCCCUUCUUUUGAAACUACAUGUCCCAAAAAUGCCAUAGAAGUCGACCAAAAUUCACACUUAGAAAAUUUCGCAUAUACCUUUUGCUUCCCAAGAACAUCCAAAACGAUACGAAGAUGGUCGGCAUGCUCUUCCUCACUUUUCGAAUAUACCAAAAUAUAAUUAAUAAAGACUAUGACGAAAGAAUCAAGAAAUGGCUUGAACACCCCAUUCAUUAUACUCAUAAAAGUUGUAGCCACAUUGGUCAAACCAAAAGACAUAACCAAAAACUCAUAGUGCCCAUAGCGAGUCCUAAACGUCGUCUUGGGCACAUCCUCAGGCCUAAUUUUCAACUGAUGGUAGCCAGACCUUAGAUCAAUCUUAGAGAAACUAAUGCACCUUGCAAUUGGUCAAAAAGAUCAUUUAUUCAAGGCAAAGAGUACUUGUUUCGAAUAGUGACCCUAUUCAAUUGCCGAUAAUCUAUACACAUUCUCAUACUAACAUCUUGUUUCUUAACAAACAAAACUGGAGCACCCCAUGGGGAAGCACUAGGACAAAUAAAUCUCUUAUCAAGAAGCUCUUAGGUUUGAGCCUUAAGCUCUCUUAAUUCUACUAGAGCCAUACGAUAUGGAGGGAUAGAAAUGGGACGCGUACCAGGCUCUAAAUUAAUGCAAAAAUCUAUAUCUCUAUCCGGAGGCAUACCAGACAAAUCACUAGGAAACACUUCUCUAAAUUCCGACACCACAGGAAUAGACUCAAUGGAUGGAGCCUCAAUCCCAACAUCUCUAAUAUGAGCCAAAUAAGCCAAACAACCUUGCCCUAUCGAUUUCCUAGCUCGAAUGGAGGCUAUGAUCUUAGCUUACUUAGGCUUGUACACCCCUUCCCACUCUAAUUUUUCCCUCCCCGAAAUUUCUAGAGUUACAGACUUAGUAUUACAAUUAAGCACGGCAUAAUAGGGGGACAACCAAGUCAUGCCUAAGAUUAUAUCAAAGUCAGUCAUAUCCAAAAUUACCAAAUCAGCCCAAGUCUGAAAACCCAUAAACAAAAUAGGACAAACACGAUAGACAUGGGUAACUAUGACUGACUCUCCCAAACUGGGGGUGGGUAGAAACAUGGAUAGGGGCAUCAAGUAUAUCACAAAAUCAUAUUAAACUUUGAGGCAAAUCGCACGGAUACAUAAGAAAAAGUAGAAUCCGGAUCAAACACUACAACAAUAAAAGCUUUUAGCGGCAAUUAAUAUGCACCUUAGUGGAAACAUAAAUUGCCACUAAAACUUUUAUCGUCAUUUAAUUUAUUGUCAUUGGAUUCAAUGUCCCUAAAGGCUUUAGUGGCAAUUAUAAAGAGUGCCGGUAAAGAUACCAACUAUUGCCGCUAAAAGAUUUCAAUUUUAGCGGCAAUUAUUUACUGGCAAUAACAAUGGCCACUAAAAUCACCUGAAAUUUACAUCUUGCAUAAUCAAUAAUGAUGCAUCUAAUUGGCAAUAAAACUGCCCACAAAUUGCAAAUACUAAUAUUAAGAAAUGACGUUCUUCAUUAAAAUCACAAUAAACAAAAACAAAUAACUAUUCAUUCAUAAUCUUAAUGUCAACAACAUAACAUGAAAAAAAUUACUCCACUUGAUUCCAAAAGCUAAUCUUCUUUUUUUUAGAAGGUAAAAGCUAAUCUUGUUCUCAUUUCAAUAAUCUUCCACAUAUCAAAUCUCUAAACAUCAUAGAGUACAUAUCUAUAUCCUCUCAGAAACCAUUGCCUCGUGUCCUCUCGGAUACCAUCAUUCCAUAUCAAAACAAUAGGAUACUCUGCACUAGCCAACACCAUGUCUUCUUGAUGUUACCAGACCCCUGGAUCUCGAAUUGUCAUGCAAAGAUGAAUUUCUUAGGCAUAAGAAAAUGUUUCACUUGAAUUUCCCUUUUAGGACCUUCAAGUUUGCCCUUCAGACUACCUGAAGUUGUGUCCCACUCUCAUAUGCCCAUCAAUGCUUUCAGGAGAAGGCAACUGACCAUCAGGACUAAAAGCCAAACUAAACAAAAUCUCUGUGAUCUGAACCAUAUGUCAAAAAACAAAAGUUAAAAGGUAUAUCAAUAAGACAUAUCUAAUUAGCGAUACAAAACCAUAAAUCAUUCGGAUAAUAAACAUGAGACAGAUUCUUAAUGCCAGGCAUGACUCAUUUACCUUCUAAUAACUUUAAACUAGAAUCACCUUAACCAAUCUUCCAUAUAAAUUCUCCUUCGUCUCCACCACAUGUUGCCACCAAAUUAGCAUCUGUCGGACUGCAGAUACCAGUUUAUGCUUCAUUUAUAAAGAGAAAAUGUAUUGAAAUAGUUAAAAUAUAAAGUAAACAGAAAAGAAAUCCACUCCAAAGUACAGUCUAGUUAUAGUUUUAUACCCAAUCGGGAGGCAUUGACUAUCAUAUGGAUACAUUUAACUUUUAACUAGUCCAAAAUCAAUAAAAACACAUUUACCUAAAAUCAUUAUGUUGGUGAGGAAAACAAUCUUAUGUGAAGUAUAUUCAACUAUCUGAAUAUCUGAUUCAAUUUUCUUAUAGGGAAAAUAUUUACAUUAAUAAGUGGAAAAAUUCCAGCAUACAAGAAGCAAUAAGUGGAGGACCAACACAAGAUGGAAACAUAUAGCUAUGCACACUAUCAUUUAGAUAAAAGGGAUCUCACAUGUUUUCAAGAGUUUGUAAAACACAUAUAGCAUGUGACGAGUCUAGCUAGCAUUAACCAACCAUACGACACUUCAUAAGCUACAUACGCAUGCAAGUUUUACAACACAAAUAUGCAAGGAGUCCUUCCACUCCCAAAUGUGAAGGCUUUAGAUGCCUAAAACAACAUAGACUAGCUUGCUUAAAAGAAAUAUAUGAUUAACGACAUGCUCUGUGUCAGAGGCGUAUCUAGAGGGGGUGCCGUGGGUUCACGUGAACCCAUGCUCCCCUCUCUAGAUCAUAUAUAGUAGUGUUAUAUUUUUAAAAAAAUAUUUAAAUAUAGAUGUGUGAACCCAUGUUCAAAGUAUCAUAUAAUAAUACGAUGAUGAUUAGGUGCACCUCUCUAACUGAGGAUAAAAAUUUAAAUAUUAUAUCUAUCUUGUCUUUUUGAGUAACACCACUCCAAGUGGUUAUCAGUGACACUUUUGACGUUUCAACUAAUUUUUCUUUUGUAUUUUUGCCUUUAAUCUUUCAAAAUUUUCAAGCGUCUUACAUUGAAAAUUCCUAAAAAAUUAAGCACCGUAAUUUUUUUAUAUAAUUAAAUCAAUUGUGUAUAUUAAAAUUUAAAACUAAUAGUAUUAUAUAUUUUGAAUCUAUAGUUUUUAAAAUUUAAUGGUUCAUAUUUAGAACCUAAAAGUCAAAUGAUCAAAUUUAUAUUUAAGAUACAUUUCUUCGUAAUCGUGCACCCAUUUAACCGAAAUCCUGGAUACGCCUCUGCUCUGUGUGUUAAUAGAAUUUUGAGGUACGGACCUGUCAUACACUCCUACUGCAGGUUGUAGUGGAUUCAUGGUAUCAUAUGAAAUCUGUAGCUUAAAAAAGUAUGCAAAUCAAAGGAGGACAACAAACUCAACUUCUGAUACGAUCGUGUGACCUUUUUCAUGACUAGUCAAUAUCUUUGCUGAUAAAAGUUCCCAAGGAACAACGGCAAAACUAAACACACAUGCUUUCUGGUAGUAAGGCAGAUAAUUGAUGAUCUAAAAGGAAAAUAAAAGUUUAACAGACCAAGUUUACAGUGGCACAAGAUAGUUAUGCACGUGGUAAUAUACGUCAUAUACAUUAGCCACAAAACGUAGCCCUUGGUGUUAAUUAGAUAUCAUCGAACAAGGUGGCAGAAACAAAGAAAGCACAUAAGCUCCAAUUUUAUAUUGCACAAGUAAAACUCAACUUGAACUUACAAAUUAAUACUCGGUCAAUCUCAGAAAUUAGAGUCGAGGUCUUGCAGAUAUCAAUUUUCACUUAAUCAACGUCCUCCGCAAGAUAAGAAGUGCAAAACCUCUGAGAAAGAAAAUCAACCUGAGCCAGAGAGUAAAUUAACAAGCUUGGCUAGUAGAAACACAAAGUUACAUUGAAACUACUCAUAUACAAUAGCAGAUUGUGAUCACAAAUUUUAAACUCACCAAGAUAGAGCAACUAAAACCUUAUUCCAAGUUUACAGAGCUAAGCUUGUCAACUUACCAACUAGGGAAAACGAUUACUACAUAUGUCAAGCUGCGGAAUUAGAGCAACCACAAAUAGCCGAGCUCCAAUUGGUGUACCUGUCAUAACAGUUCCACCAGAACUCUUUAGGAUAUAUGAAUAAGAACAUGGAUUUUCUUCCAGAUGUUCUCAUGGACAAUAAAAUACAUGCUACCAGCAGCAAAAAUGUUAGAUACUCUUUAGAAUCUAUUGAUGCUUACAACACACAAAUAAAGUAGGAUAAAGAUGCAAAUUAUAGCAGAAUUUUGAAUCGAAAAGAUGAAAAGGUUAAAUUUUCAACCAGUGUUAGAUUGAAAAUUGACAGUGUGUUCAAAAUUAGGGAUUGAAGAAAACGACUCAACUUUGAUUCGAGCGAGGACUCGAAUACAUAAAUCUGAUUAGAAGAGAAAACAAAGACAUACUGAAAAUGUAAAAUGGCUUAAGCUUCAAUUCUAACAACUUAGGUUUUUCAUAAGACGAUUGCACGCGCUAAAAUUGCUCCUAAUAUCUCAAACACGAAUAAAAAUAUCAUAACUUCAUUAAACUUCCAAAAAUAAAGAAAUUCAGAUAGUAACCGAUGAAGGAGGAAGAAUACCGACAUAGUAGCGGUGUUGAUUCGUAGCGGAGGUGGAUUUGGAGGUCCGGAUAGCGGUGGUGGAUACGGUGGUUUUGGUGGCCGUGCUGAAUACGAUGGCUCCAGUGGCGCCGGAGAAUACGGUGACUUAAGCGGCGGUGGAUAAAAUGGCUACGGUGGCUCUGGAGGUGGUGAUUCUGGAGGAGGAGGAGGGCAGCGGAUCUAAUGGCCAGCGUCUUUUAUUGCUUUGAGGGAAUAAGUAAAAUAUUAAAAUUGAAUUUAGUUAUUGACUUUUAGUGGCAACUAUCUUUUAAGGGAAAAUUACGCGGUUAAGCAAACUUAUACUACUUAAUUACUCAUUAUAGCUAUAGUUUGCUAUAAUUACCACUCACGACUAACAUUAUACAUUAAUUACGCGGGCUGACUUCGAGUUUGUAUAUGUAUAAUUCGCCAGAAUAUACAAAUACAUAUGUAUAAUAUAUAAUUAUCUAACCUAUAUACAUAUACAAUUCACCUCUCUCCCACUCUCUGCCCUCUCUCGCUCGCUUCUCUCCUCCCUCUCCCAAUCUCUCUCGCCUCUCUCCUCCCUAUAAUAUAUAGCUACGAAUUGUAAUUAUCAAACUAUAGCUAUGGAGAGUAAUUGGGCUAUUUUUGAGUUGCUAUAUGUGAAAGUUCCCCAUCUUUUAAUGCCACUGAAAAGAGAAUUUUUUUUACGGUGAAUGUACAUUUGCCGCUAUAUCUUAUUUUAGAGAUUAAAUUAGUGGCAAUUAUUUUAUUGCUGCUAAAUAAUUGCCACUAAAAAUACUUUUUGGUGUAUUGAAACAACACAUUAGCCAUCCGCUCACAGACAAGAAUAGUACUUGUGAUCACUGCAUCAGACGCCUCUGCCUCAUUCUUGCCCGGAAAUGCAUAACACUGAGACCUAUCAUCUUGACGAGCCACUUCCCUGCCUGGUUACGCAUUACCCCUGACUGCAUUACCAUUACCUCUACCUCCACGGCCUCGUUGAUUACCUCCUCGCCUACUUUGUGGACGUCCUCUACCAUUAUUACCAUUCCCCGCGGGUACCACUGCUCUAGACUGCUGAUGUGUGGAAUCUAACACACGUGGGUGGAGAAAAUUUCUCUUCAUACGCCCAGGUUCACCACAGUUGUAGCAAGUACGAUCAAAAUAUGGUCUACCACCCGUCGAAGGCGCGACUCCCUAGCUAUCCUGAACAUUAUAAGAUGGAAUUUCCGAGUAACUACCUGCAGAGGUAGGCAUAGCGGACUGAAUUGACUUGGCUGCAAGCGUUUGCCUUCCGGACCCCUUGGAAUAAGAACCUUGAAAGUUACCCGGAGUUCUUGGCCCUUUUUGUCCAUGCCUUAGCUUGACCGUUUCGCCUCACCCUUCCCCCCCCCCAACUUCUUAACAUAGUCUAUUACCUCAUUGAAGCUCCUCCCUGCAAGUAGCAUAUCUAGACAAGGCAUGGAACUUGGCCUUCAUAAGGCAGCCACAGUCAUACCACCCUGCUCCAAAGCCAUGAACUCAUCCUUCUUGAGAUCCCUCAAGGUCCUAGGCACAUACUUCUCUAUAAACAGAGCAUGAAAUUGGGUCCAAGUAAGUGGAGGUAAAGUAGAAGAUCAGCAUUCCAUAUAAGCUCUCCACCACAGCUUAGCCUCACCUUGAAGUUGAAAGCACAUGAACUCAACCCCAUGUUAAUGGACAAAUUCCCAACUUAUGAAGCCUCUCAUAGCAAUCUAAGAUAAACUCAUAAGCAUCCUCAUUCUCAGAACCAAGAAACACAUGAGAUUUUAGCUUCAAAAACAUAGUCAACAUUUCAUGUUCAUUACCAGUCAUAACAGAACCCAACAAAGGACGGAAGAAAGCAUUAUUACCUCCGGUCCCACCCACCUUGGGCGCAGUGCCAGCAACAGAAAGGUUAGUAGGAGCUUGAGUUGCUUGAGCAAAAGGAAGCACUCCAGGACCAACCAACCCUUUCAAGAAUGACAUGAUAUGUCGAGCUAACACUGGGUCUAUGGGGGGAACAUCAGUAGUCUCAGCCUGCACCUCUUCCUCUUGUCCCACAUCCUCAACAUUCUCAACAUCAACAUUUUCCUCUUCAAUCUCUUCAUGAUGCGCAAGAGGGUUCUUAUUCACAUGAGCAUUCUCAAUAGGAGCUCCAUUUCCAGCAGGCGCUACUCUUUUACGGCCUCUACCCCUGCAUCGACCGUGACCUCUCGCUGCAGAUUCCUCAGCUAGAGCAUUGACGGGAGCUACGGGCCUAAUACUGUUGAAUCUAGUAUUAACCAUCUACAGACAGAAGAGUGAAAGAGGUUAGAUACCAAUUUGAAUCGCCAGAUACCAAUUGGAAUCAAGUCAUAGCACAAAAUGAGACAAGAGAAACAGUGAGAUUUCCCAAAGUUCUAUAGCCUCUCGAAGAAAAGUAAAGGCGUCCCCGUACCGUUCCGCAAGACUAUACUAGACUUGUUUUGGUACAUCGAGAUCAACAAACCUAGGCUCUGAUACCAACUUUGUCACGACCCAGACCGUCGUAAUUGGCACCCACACUAACUCUCUAGUGGGAGAACCACUACUACAACCCAAACCAAGCAACUAAAUCAAAACUAAGGCAUUUAAGUUACGGAAGCAAGUUAAAUAUUAGGAAAUAAAUAGAGUUCCAUAAACUCUAACAAAAGUCUAACAAUAAUAAACUAACAUUGCGAAAGUAAUGCCUAUAACCUUAAAGUCAAUGUACCAAAAUAUCAAAAACUCAACAAGUCUAAAUACGAAGGGAUGCAACCCCAAUCUAAUGAACUAAUCAACUAACUAGAACAUAGUCUAAAUCCGGAAAUGGUGGACAUAGACGAAAGAGAACCCAUGGCAGCCCAGAAGAAUUGGCUCACCCUUGAAUUCGAACGAUCACUGAUCUCCUAAGUGAGGUCUAUCAGUAGCCGCUUGAAGAUGCCCUAUACUCAACAAAAAUAAGAGCAAGUGCAGUAUCAGUACACAACCACAGUGUACUGGUAAGAUCACGCGGCUAUCCCACUAAGUGCAACAUACAUAAGUCAAAUAACAAUAUAAUCACAUGCAUAUAUCAAACAUAUACAAUAUCAUCAACAUUUACAAAUAACGAACAACUUCACAUGUCUCAAAAUAUACAAUUAUGACAAGUCAAUGGUCUUCUCAUGGAACCCAAACCCAAAUAGUUAGCAUGUCGGAACGUGGCAACCNNNNNNNNNNNNNNNNNNNNNNNNNNNNNNNNNNNNNNNNNNNNNNNNNNNNNNNNNNNNNNNNNNNNNNNNNNNNNNNNNNNNNNNNNNNNNNNNNNNNNNNNNNNNNNNGAACGUGGCAAUCCGAUCCCAUUCACACACCACAAUCACCAUUAUAUCAUCAAGAUGAUACAUUUAAGUCAUGAUUUCAUGGUAACCAUUAUUCAUCUACCUCAUUACAACAAGUGUGAUCAAUAAUGCAACAUUCAUAUACAUACAUGUAUCAUAAUGAAGCAAGAACAAACAUACAUCACACAAUCAUAGAAUCACAACCAUCACCUACCUCGAAACAAGCUUGAAACCCUAAGAAACUUGAUCCUUCCCUUUACGGAUUCAUUCCGCUUGUUCUUGGUCUACAAACAAUCACAAUAACACGGGAAUCAAUAAACAAUCACUAAUUACGUGAAUUACUAACAAUUCUAACAACCCUGGAUCGUACCCAUGAUCCCAAGUAUCCAAAAUAGGGUUGUUUCCACCAUAGAAUCUAGAUCAAAACCCUCCCCCAUCAUUAAUUGUCCAUUCUAUUACGUUCUACAGAUCAAAAACUGGAUUCGAGGAGUGAAAAUUUUACCUUUAGCCUCAAGAAUGGUGGAAAACUGUUAGGAGUCACCUGGGGUUCGUUCUUUAGCUAUAAAAAUUGAAAAAUGCAGAAUGAGAUCGUUUAGGGGUUUAUUUAUGAACUUAAGUCGCGUCGAACCCGCCACAGCGGCCCUCACCCUACUGUAGCGGCCCCGCCAGAGCGGCUUGCACAAACCAGUGAGCUAUUUAAAGAAUUCCAAAAUCCCCAUUUCACAACACACCUCUAACCAACAAUGCUUAGAAAAUACCCUUUACGCUAAGGUCGAUUACGGGAGUUCUACUCUCCCGAAUUCAAUUUCGUAAAGUCGUACGGAUUCCUUAACGAGUUAUCUAACCACUCAUGUACCCAGAAUUAUAAAUAAAUCACCCGAUUAUUACCAGAUUUCCCUACACCUUAAAAACUCUGAUUUCGUCCAAAUCUGGACAAGGUUAGAAAAAUUCAAAUACUACGAAAAAGUUUUCAGGUCCCAAAUUUUCCCCCGUUGGCAUUUCUAUAACGACGAAAACAAGUCAUUACAUUUUCAUAGUUGAUUUCUAGGAUGCAAUUGAACACAUUGUGCUCUCUCACAUCCGUAGUAAAGCGAUUUGAGAAGUAGUUAGAACCUCCCUUGAAAAGUCAAGUUUUUAAAUUUAUUAUUAUAUAAUUUCCUUAUGCUUAAUUUAAGGUUCUAGAGGAAGGAACUGAUAGGUAAAGCACUAGAGUUUUGUUCUUUUCAUCUUUUCUCUUGCUAUAUUUGGUAGUGUUAGUUGGAAUAUUGUUGCUUGUGAGUUUUGAUGUGGAGCACUUGUUGUCACUCUAAAUCUAUGUUUUACUCUUCUUUAUUUUAUAGGCAGAAUUUGUGUUAUAGGGAAGUUACUGUUUGGGUUGAAUGUUGUUGAUUUUCUUUGUGGAAUUUAGGGAAAUUGGAAUUAUCAGGUUUCUUUUUAGUUAAAUUUGGCUAUUGAUUGAUUUGAUUCCACGCUGGAGUUUUGUUCUCUCUGUUUCUGUGUGAUUUGGGCAGAGGGGUGAUUAUAGUUUUCUUUUUUUUUUAAAUCAUUGUUUCAUUUCCUGAUUUACUUUUGUGUUGUAGCAACUUUUUGGGGCCCGCUAAACUUAAAAAACCUAAUUUAGGACCUCCAAAGCUUGUGAAAUUUCAUGUAAAUCUUUUCAGUUAAACCUUUCCUCUUGCUAUAGUUGGUAGUGUUACUUGGAGUAUUGUUACUUGUGAGUUUUGAUGUGUAGCACUUGUUAUCCUUCUAAAUCUACGUUUUACUUGCACUCAUAUUUCCAUUUCAGUAUUGAAACCAAAUAGCUCUAGUGUUUUGUUUGUCUAAGCUUUCAUAAAUUCACAUGGCUACACAAUGAUAUCAUAUGUUGAAGGUGAGCUAUAACAUAUUCUAUUUGAUAGAUACAAAUUAUAAAAAAUACUAAAUUCAUUUUACAAUUAUUUUUGCGUGCAGUGUGAAGUUAAGGAUUUGCAGUUAUUACUAUUGAAGUUUCAGCUACAGGUAUGUUUUCAGCUACAUGUAUGUUCUUUCCCACCCAUUAUUGUGAUUUCUUUUUCCCUCCUUCCUCCUUUUAUCUCCUUGAUUAGUAGCGGUCCAGUCACUCUGUUAUGCUCCAUUUUGAUUGAUAGGAAAUUUGGGGCUGUUUGAGGAGUUUAAGGGUACAAAGUUGUUGUCUUGUUACUGGUGAAGAGAAAGAUAACUAGAUCAUGGAUUCAUACUAGGCAUGAUAUUUAUUGUUACAUAAUUGCUAAUUUUCGAUGGACGUUUCAUCUGAAUUUGAUAGGUUGGUAAGAAGAUUUUUGACGAAAAGUCCAUCAAAAACGUUAUCGACGAGAAAAUAUCUACAUGAUACUACGUAUUAUAUAAUCUUUGGAAAUGGUUUUAAAGAAGAUAUUUGACUAGGUAAACAAGCCAAGUUUCUAAAUACAAUUAUAUAUUUAAUAAUGGUCCCAUUAACAAGUGCACUAGUGGAUUGAUGAGUAUCUCUUCAAAAGAGAUUCAAGUUCGAGUUUCCUUAGAUAUAUAAUUGUCUUUGUUAGAAAGUGUUUUACGUUCAUGUGAAAUUUUUUGAUGCAAACUUAAAUUUAGUUGAAUAUAAUACAAAUACCAAAAGGGUUAAGGUUCUUGACAAGCAACUCUUUAGUAGUUGGAUAUACCCCUCAUAGUUAUAUCUGAACUUGGAAGUUCAAUAUAAUUUUUCCAAUCAAAUUGCUUACUUUUGCAAUGUGGAUUAGGCAUUUCUUGAUUUUUGGAUGGGCUGAAAUUCUGCAAAUCAUUAGUGUAUUGUUCAUACUAGAAGUAACGAUAAUAUUAUCACAAUCUAAUAUAUACUUUUCAUGAGUGUCUCAUUUUGUUUUAGUGUCUCACUUCAAACACCACACACCCAAACUAAUGCCAAAGUUUGUUUUUCCUUUUUUUUGAGUAACCAAUAUGCUAAAAUAUUCAGGUGCUGCAACCUUAAGUAUCAUAAUUUAGUUCUCUUGAGUUGCUUAGUUGGUUUUGCAACUGUUAACAUGUUAUUGAUGUAAGGGAUUGUAACAGGUUAUAGAUUAUUUAUAUCUUAUAAUUAUGGCUCGGCUUGAAGAAUUGGCAUUGAUAAAUUGUGAUGUAAUGGAAAGAUAAUUUGGUUUAUUGACUACAUUAGGGCAGGAUUUGAAAAGAUUAAAAAAAUAGGUGUUGACUUAGUUGCUUUUACAUUUUAUUUUUGUCACACCUCAAAAUAGGGGGCGUAUCUGGCACUCGAUACCCUAAUACAUCGAGUUACCCACUGAAACAUACUAGCUAAACCAAACUGUGAAACAAAAAGAUUGGGCUGCACAACCUCUAAAAAGUGAAGCCUGGACCCAGAGAUCAUGACCUGAAUGAGAAUAAACCAUACAAAUAAUGGUAGACAAACCAAAAAAAAUAAAAUAUGUACUAUCUAUCCAACGAGGCCACAACCGAAAACAUACCUACUUACACACACACAUAUAUAUACAUGCCAAGCCUAUUGGCUAGAGGUUGAAACAUACAAAAAGAAAGCCCAGAAUAUUGUGUCCACAAUAGCCUCUAUGAGUGACAUAAGCACUGUCGGGACAAGGCCCCGACUAUACCCAAACUGUACAACAAAAGUAAACAUCCUCUGAUGGCCCCAGGAUAAGAUGGAGCUUACCAACUCACAGCUGAACCUGAAUCCUAGCGGGUGGGUCGAUUAGAGUCCUUGCAUAUACCUGCUCGCACACGAAACAAAAAGCAGCGUCCCCAGGCAAAGGGACGUCAAUACAAAUAAAAAUGUACUGGUAUGUAAAGCAGAAAGUAAAAUCAUAAACAUUUACUGUAAAAGGGUAAUAGAGAUACCACCUAAAACUGAAACCCAAAUAAUCUCCAUGGCUGACCUUUAGCCCCCAACUACUUAAAUAUGCAUGGUGUGCUCGUAUAAUCAUAUGUCGUGAAUACAUAUAUAUAUAUAUAUAGAUGCAAAUGCAUGACAUACCCAACCAUAUGCUAGCAAUAGUGGUGCUUUCCGGUAGCGAACCGGCAUCAUAUUCGCCAACUUGUGGCUAUCUGUGUCUCAUACGUAUAAAUAUAGGCAAUAGGCCCCAUACCUCCCGAUUAUAGCUCAGGAGUAGAAUGCAUAGCAUGUCAUGUCAUGGAUUUAUAACACCUAUGAGUUACUGUUGUCAUGUUUCCAAUCUUGUCCCGUUUGUAGUCUUGUUCUCAUAACCCCAUAAUAACUUUCGUAUAACAUAUAACAAUUUCAUGGAACCUGAUAUGUUAUUCCAAAUAAGCUUGAAAAGUUAACUAGAAUUUUAGAAGGAUAACCUAACCAUGUUGAUAUUCAUAACAAGUUUAAGGUGACUUACUUAGUUCCUAACUUGGUUCCUAGAUAAUUUAUAAAAAAAAUAUUUCAAAAACCAACUGUUCUAAUAGUUUACAUUUAAAUUAUAUUCGAGAGUUUUGAAGAUCGUGAGUUACUUUAAAGAUUUUUUUAAUAAUAACCUUAGUGGAGAAAGAGGGCUGGUCACAAGAAGUAAGUGUCUCGCGUGACAUUUUAAUUCACAUCACCCAAGGAAGAAUACGAAUUCAUACGUGCGGACAUAUAAAUCAAGGAAACCGAUAAAAUAGACAUGUAGAUGUCGAACACUCUAUUUAUCCGAACGAGUGAACUAUCAAAAUAACAGAAUCAUGAAAAAAAUUCAGCUGAGAUCCCAAUGCCUUUCACUGAAGGUCUUUCUAGCAAGAGAAUAGCAAAAUAUCGCAUUCGGCGUUUUAGGAAUUUCCCAGGAGUGGUGCUAAAAUGAGGGACGUAGCUUCGCCUUAACAUACCUUUUCAAUGAACGCUCGAAUGGCCGUAGCUUCUUCACGAAAGUUGUUCCUUACGUCCUAAGCUUCGCAAACACUAUAUAUACACAGCUGGUACGCACCUAUAAACAAUUCAUAAUUGUUCUUAAAUCGGCAGAUUUGCCAAAUGGCCUCAACUUGACGAAAUGUCCGUAGAACUUCAUAAAAACAAUCAUAAAAGAGUCUCGAGAUGAUUACCUUAGUUAACCAAGUGUAAAACCUUGAAGAAACACCAAUAACUACAAAUUUAUAUCUUCAAAAACUUGCUUCAAACGCAUCNNNNNNNNNNNNNNNNNNNNNNNNNNNNNNNNNNNNNNNNNNNNNNNNNNNNNNNNNNNNNNNNNNNNNNNNNNNNNNNNNNNNNNNNNNNNNNNNNNNNNNNNNNNNNNNNNNNNNNNNNNNNNNNNNNNNNNNNNNNNNNNNNNNNNNNNNNNNNNNNNNNNNNNNNNNNNNNNNNNNNNNNNNNNNNNNNNNNNNNNNNNNNNNNNNNNNNNNNNNNNNNNNNNNNNNNNNNNNNNNNNNNNNNNNNNNNNNNNNNNNNNNNNNNNNNNNNNNNNNNNNNNNNNNNNNNNNNNNNNNNNNNNNNNNNNNNNNNNNNNAUACGGGGUUUUGUGCGUUGCAAACUACACUCGUAGGACUUCGAUUUAAUAGGUGAUAGGACUUCUAAAUCUUUGUAUAUUGGGAGAAAACAUCCAAGACAUUUGACCCAAAGUUAAGAAAAUAUUAUUAGAGAAACUUCGAUAACUUUUGCCGACUUUAGUUUCACUAAUUUUCUUGACUUCCAAACUUAACAUACGACCCUUGUGCUAUUAUAAUACCUCAUAACACACUAUUAUUAGCAUGUUUUACACUCAUAGGCUUAUCCACAAGGUAUGGGACAAUUUAAACAUUUCAAACGGCGAAGUUCUACCCGAGCCAUUUCUUUAGUCAUGAACUUUGUUUGAGGGGUCCCUUUGACCUAAAACUUUAGUUUAGUUCCUUGAUAUUGCCACAUAUUUGAAAUUUUAAUCUCCAAUGUAUGAUACAAAGUCAUAUACACCUCAUAUAACCAUGUCAUUCUACGCCACACAUAUUAUGCACGAUUAGACAAAGAGCAUGGGAUCUUACAAUUUUUAACUCCGAUGUUGAUCCAAGCAAUCACACCUUCUGUUAGGGCAGAACACAACAACACAAAUAAUGGAAUAACAACCAUGCUUGAAAUAUACGUAAUCAAGACAUUGAAUAUCUGAAGCAGUAGAUGCCCAAAUAGGAAUUAUGCCAUGUAUGUUCUUUGAUAAAAGAGGCUAGAGAGUUCUGUGUAUGUUUUUUAUGGAUUGAUGCCAACUAAGAAUCUCACUUGUUUAUCUGAAGCUCGCAAUAAUUUGUCUCCACUAGAUUCAAAAGUCUUCUUUACUUUCUUUUGUUUAAUGUUGUUACUGUGUUGCUUUUUGCGAGAAAAGUUUUAACUCUAAAUAGUUGUCUACAAAAUCAUGACAGUGAAAGAUUUACUUGAUGUUUUUUUAAUUAGUUGUCACAUGGUGUUGUGCCUACUACUCUCUGGCAAUUCAGAAAUGUUAUAGAAAUCAAAAUGCGUAUCAAAAUGCCUUACAACCAAAUUCUAUACUGAUGCUUGCAAUUUUACAUAUUCUUAUUGAAAAGACAUUUUUAUACUCAAUUUAAGCAACUAUUGUAGCACCCUUUUCUCAAAAAAACUUUCUUCCAUAAACUUUUUUCCAUUCUAGCUUGCAUCUAUGUAAGCUAGGAUCUAUUAUAACAUUGUUUAUCUUUUUUCUAUUCAAAAGUCUUCUUUACUUUCUUUUGUUUAAUGUUGUUACUGUGUUGCUUUUCGUGAGAAAAGUUUUAACUCUAAAUAGUUGUUUGCAAAAUCAUGACAAUGAAAGAUUCACUUGAUGUUUUUUUAUUUGGUUGUGCCUACUACUCUCUGGCAAUUCAGAAAUGUUAUAGAAAUCAAAAUGCCUUACAACCAAAUUCUAUACUGUUGCUUGCAGUUUUACAUUAAGCUAGGAUCUAUUAUAACACUGUUUAUCUUUUUUCUAUGUAAACAAGAAAAAAAUCAACAAAACUCACUCUCUGAGAAGAAUUCAUAGACCUAUAUGGGAAUAAACUUCUCACACAUCUGAAAGAACUUCAAGAUUUCCCAGUAAUUCUUGCCAGAAAAGUAGCCAAACCAAAAUCAUCUUCAGGUGAAGUACAGACAUACUAACAAUUUCUCAUAUGCUGAAACACAUAUUGCUCAAAUUAACACCAACUAUUCAACAAUGUGCAGGCCUUUCAAAUAGAUUUAGUACAACAAUCCAGAUUGGUCCCCCAUACUCACAAGCUAUCGAACUAAAGACAUGGUAUUCAAAAUACACCUCUUUCUAUGAACAAAAAAAUGUAUUCACAUCUUAACAUUUUUAACUUACAUACAGAUCCAAUGAAAUAAAACCACUUCUUAGCACAUACAUAACAAAAAGCACCACAGCUACAGGAUCUCUUUUGUUUGUGUCAUUUGAAGAACACAUCGUGCCUAUUGUCAAUAUCCAGCAACAAUCUUUGGUACCUACAUCAUCUACAUCUUAAAUUUAGUUUAAAAAUUAAACUAUUAAUACAAUUUACCAUUUCAUAUAUAUUCACAGGGCCAAAUAUUCCAUGUGCAAGCUCAAUUGUUAAUAUCCAAUGAAACUCAACGAUUAUGUGUUUUACUCUGCUCCGACUGCAAGUAAAUCUUUCCAAGGAAUUGGUCACAGAGAAGAUUCUAUUGUACAACCUACCGUCGAUCAACACAUCUCACACCCAGGUAUACACAUAUACAAUUGUUAAUAUAUUUUUUACUUUUCCCCCCAGUUGACUUAAAAAAAGUUUUUUUCAAACAUAAACAUAUUGAGUUUUGCUUCCAUAACAGAUGCCAGUUCGAAGUAACCAUCCAAAAUGGUACUGGAUCAACAACAGCUAUGAUUUCAAACAAAAUUGGAGAAGAACUAUUGUCUUUCACUGUGGCAGAAAUUCAUGAAAUAUGUUGCAUCAAGGUAAAACACUCUACAGCCUCUUGCUUAAAAAUCUAUCUUACAUGACUUCCUUUCAUCUUUCAGAAACAAUUGUUGACAGCCAUACCCGUGCUGCACAAACUGCUAGGGAAGACAUUCACUAUCCAAAUAAAGAAGUUGUUCACAAAAAACAAGGAUGCAUCUUCAGCAAAAUUGUUCAUCAUGUCAAUCACCGAAAAAGAUAUUGCUAGCAACCUGCCAUUGCCACUCACUGCACCAACAACUCCAGAAAGCAGCAAACACAAGCUGAAGCAAAUCACGAGAAAGGAAGACUAAAGGUAUUCUCUCUACACAACUUCCAACCUAUGGCAUUUUUGAGUCUUUUUGUUCAAUCUUCCCCUUUUAAAACCACUUCUUAUGUUUGGUUUUCUCCUCAUUCUUUCUCUUCUCGCUCUUUUUGGGCUUCUUCGGGUAAAACCCUUCACCGGUUUGACUCUUUUCCUCUCUAAAGUCGCAUUCUUUUUACCUUAUGUUAUGUGAUUAUACUAAUGCUUUCCUUAAGAUUUUGUCUUUAGACUUUAACUUCUUGUUCUUCUGAUGUUUUGGGAAUUUUUUGAUGUGGGCGUUUAUCUUUUGUUGUAUUUGGUUACUCCAUGACCCCUUAUUACUAUUUGGGUUUCUUGUUUUGCAAUAAUUUACUUGUUGCCCUUGUCUUUUGUUAAGUUUAGAUGCGUACAGAAAUGAAGGAUUUUGAUGACGUACUAGACUAGAAAAGGUGAUCUUAUAAAAGUGUCUUGGGUUGAAUUGUCUUUCUCCACUUCUUAAUCACUUUAGAAUAAUUAAGAAAGUUGUUCAGUGUAGUGUACAAUAGUUUCUUACCAAUUGAAGUCUUGGUACUUCUAUUUUUGUCGUCAUUGUCUGAUGUCACAUUCUUGUUGAUAAUUCACUUAUUUUAAACCCAUUCUCCAACUUUUGUUCAAUAUGUAGACUUUCAUUUGCUUUUUCUUUUGUUUUUUGGACCCAUGUUCCCUCAGAAGUUCACCUUGAAUUGAAAAGUCAUUAGUUUAUGCCUAGAUUUGGAUCACAACCUGCAGGAUACUCACCUUAUUCCUAACUAAAUAAUCAAAUUAUGCAACUUAGCAUAUAUUUUUUUCAACACUCUAUUUCUUCAACAACUGAUGUUUUCUCCUUUUGUUAUCUGUGUAGUAUAUACUACUUUUUUUGCGAUAUGAUUGGCACCACCCUUUUGUCUACUCAACUACUAUAAAUGUUGAUGGCGCACACUUUUGCUGUUGAUAGCGUGGACUUUGCCGCUACUUCUUGGAAACUGUCAGAUACUUAUAUCUUGCAAUCACUCUCCACAUUUACUCCUCCCCAUAACUACACACUAAAUUCAUUUUCCAUCUUAUUUCACAGAUACUUUCUGGCGCUGAAUAACGUUGAAAAACAGUCAAAAUGCAGCAUUAUGUAAAUAUCCAAUGUAAGCAACAGUCAUGACAACAAACAAAACAACUGCCACCCAUAUUUAUAAUAUCUAUAUGUAACUAUAUCUGCGUAUUUAUGUGUGUGUGUGUCUCCAUGUAUGCACUAUCCUUACAUUCAACUCACAAAAAAAUUGCAGCGUUGGGCCCGUGCUUGCACGGGCAACUCUUACCUAGUAUAGUAAUAAAGAUCAACUAAAACACAACAUUCAGGAGACAAUAUCUCAAUAUACUCCCUAAGAAAAAAUUACUAUUAAGUAAAAUUUAUCCUUUUUAAAAAUCUAAUGAGAUAUACAAACAUUAACAAAACUAAAGAAAUAAAAUGGAGGUUGCUUCUCAAAACACAAUUGCAGAAACACUUCUCUAGCAAUUAGUCUUGAUUUCCAUCUUCCACAAUCUGAGUAAAAGGAAAACUAUCUAAGAUUCGAUUUUACAUUUUAUGAUAUCAUGAUAUACAACAAAUAACAUACCCAGUGUAAUUCCUCUAGUGGAAUCCAAAGAUGGUAGGAUAUAUGAAAACCUUACCUCUACCAUUGCAGGAUAGAGACGUUAUUUACAGUGACCCUCGGCUCAAAAGAAAUAUAGCCACUGCAGGAAAGCAACAAAGAAAAAGAGACGAAAAACACGUAUUCACACCUUCAACAAAGGGAAAAAAAGAAUCAACAGGCUAAGGGAAGAAAGUGAUUUUAUGAGAAAGGUAACUCUUUUUAGAAAAAAAAUUGAUAAAGGUGGUGAUGAACAAAAGAGGAGGGUGGGUGGAAUGUGAAUAAUCUUAAGAUCCAAAAUAAAAGUAUACUCUUUAAACGGAUACAAUGAUUAAGCAAUGAUAGAAAUGACUUAUGGAAGAAAGUUUACAUAUUUAAAUAUGGUAAGAAAGACCACUGGACUCUCGAGACUAUAGUAAUGCAUAACAUAUUCACACUGAAAGUAUAAUUAUAGUUAUCCGAGGAAUUUCCAAUUAUUUACAAGAAUUCAGAGCAUUUCAUCGAAAUACUUCCUGUCUUUUUACCUUAGUACCGAUAAGGACACCAACAAUUUUUACAAAUUGCAGUUGCACUGCACUAAUUCACUACACCAAAAGAGACCUUUAGCGGCAAUUAAUUUUUCUUUUAGCGGCAAUAGUUAUUGCCACAACUACAUUUACCGGCAUUUGAUUAAAUGCCAUUGGAUCCAAUGUCGCUAAAGCCUUUAGUGGCAUUUGUGUCGGGUGCCGGUAAAGACCCUUAUUAUUGCCGCUAAAAGUAAUUACUUUUAGCAGCCUUUACUAUUGCCAUUAAAGCUACUUUAGAAACAAGCAUAUAUGUGGCAUUUGCUAUUGCCGGCAGAGAUAAUAAUUGCUACUCAAGCAAUUAUUGUAAUGACUAAAAACUGAUCAUAGAUUCAGCUUGAUUCAUAUAUUUAACCCUCUUUUAUAACAUCAAAAACAAAAUUCACAAGAGAAAUAAGUUUAAAGAUAGUAAAGAAGAAUUACCAAACUGAAAACAAUGUCAUUCACUUAAAAUAAGAACAAACAAUCUUAAUACAUUCAAUUUCUUAUCUUGUAGCGGUAAAAGAAACUAUGAAUUAUCAAAAUAGAAAAAAAUGUGUUCAACAAUGGAGAAAAUAAGGCAAUUAAGCCAGUGUUUGUUCCCUAAUGCAAAAUGUGACAGCUUUCUGGAUCAGUGUGUCAUUCCUUGAACAAGCUCACCAUUUGAAUGAGUAUGCCACUGUACACAUAUAGCGGUAGAUGGUUAGAUGACAAAAAAUUGACAUGCAUAUUGGAUAUCUUAUUCACUAUAUAAUAUCCUAAUGGUCUAUAUACUCAUUCAUGAGAUGCUUCAUUGGUGUUGUUGCUAUUAUGUAACAGUUUGAGAAAUAAUAUGAUUAAAGCCAAUGAGUUGAUCACUAAUCAUGAUAUAAGGAUACAGAGAAAGGAAUGCAGUAGCAGACUACUUAGCAAAUUGUGACUUUGAAAAUCAGCAAACAACUGUUUAAACAGCAGUAGCAGACUACUCAUGCCAAAAGAUUUGUUAACAUACAUAAAUCACAACUAUCAAUCAUCAGAAUUACAACACAAGGGAAAAGGAAGAUCAACAAUGUAAUCUCAACAUGAGUAGGCCUUAGAAAUCAAACAAAACCCACAGGCCAUAGCAUCUUGCACACUUAAAGACAUGAUUUUGCAGAGAUAACCACAAGCCUAGUGUUACCUAGAAGGACUACGAUGUGACAUACCAAAGGUAAUAGCCUCAAAAUUUUGUAUAACAAGAAAAUAGAUUUUGAGAAAGACAUACCUGACAUAAUCCCAAUGUUCUACCUCCCAGAAACAUGGCCUAUAACAGAUGCAAAAAAGGAGGGAGAUUUUCAGUAUAUCUGUGAUAGUGGAAAAGAAGAGAGGCUUCCACGGCUCACUACAAUAUUAUCAAAAGCGACUUUAAGAUAACGCAUUAAAACAAUGACAAAAAUAAAUAGCGUAAGCUUGAGACAAGUAAUAGAAACUUGGCUGGAAAAAUAAAUAAAUUGCAGUAGCUUCAAAAUAGUUGAUAUGCACUCACCUUCAAUUGGAGGAAUUUGAAAUUUUAGUCCGUAACGAUUUCUAUACCAUCAACUCCACCCCUUACCCAACCAUUGUUGUCAUCUUCUAAAUCACGAAUAUUUUCUAAGAUAGUUAAAUUAGUUGUAUCACACUGCAUUGAUGAGUCAAAUCGUUUACUAUUUUCUUCUCCCAUAUCAAAAAUGUCUCGCGAUUUAAUUGACCUAGGGACAAACCAUUCAUGAUCUUCAGGAUCUUGAACAAAUAUCACUUGUUGAGCUUGUCCAGCAAAAACAAUUGGCUCAUCACUUAUUCGGUCACCUGAAUGUAUUAGAUGUGAGAAGUUCACAAGUGUGAAACCUAAGUCGUCUUUCAUAACUCCUCGACCUUGAGUUACAUCAACCCAAUCACAUUUAAACAAGACGACUUUAAAUUUUUCAUAGUAGUUCAACUCAACAAUAUCAUUCAGUCUGCCAUAAUAUGUAAUAUUUCCUGAUUUUGGAGCACUGUCACUAGUACUUGCAUAGCUCUCUGUCAUUGAGACAACCAGAACCCCACUAUUUUGUGUCUGCAUGAACUCUUCAUACUGUUUUGUACGAAAUCGAUACCCAUUAUUCAUAUGGAAUGCCUUGAAUCUUCUUGCGAAGUAACAUGGACCUUGUGCAAGGGCUUUAACAUCAUUUGAGAUAUUAGAUAUGAGAUCCAACUCUUUGACCUGCCCAAAGAGCAAUAGACAACUGUAGUUACAAAUAUUAGUACAAGAGACGAUACUUUAAAGUAGGUGACUAUUGAAUCUUACUACUUACUUGCUCCUUGAACCAUUCAUGAAAAUUUUCAAAAUGCAAGCGAUUAAGCUGAUGUUGGGUAAGGCGGCGUUUGCGAUGCAAUCGUUUGAUUUCACUAAUAUGCUCACUGUACAAGAAAACUAGAGUUAACUGAACAAAUUAAGAAAUAUAUCCACUAGGGAGUUUGUUUUCCAUCUUCUUUUAACUCAAUGGCCUAUGUUUGAUUAUUGUUCAUUAAUUGAUUUUCUUACAGUAACAUGAAGCUUUCCAUCUUAUUUUAACUCUUGCUUCAGUCUCUAAAACUUGUCUACCAUCUAAUGACAUGACAUCAGAAUAAACAUGUAUAGAGACAAUUGAGACAAUUGUAUCAAGAAAUUGCUCAAAAAUUAACAAUCCUGCACCUCCAAACUCAAACAUAGGUACAUAAAACGGCACAACAACAGUCAUGGUAGAAAUUAAAUAAAGCUAUCAUCUUUGCUAAGUUCUUGAAAUACCCAAAUCAAGAAAACACAUUCAAGGACUUAAAUUAAAUUGACAGAGAUAAUACUCACUUUUUGUAAUAGUCGACCACAUCUGAUUCACAAUUGAAAAGAACAUAUCGAUGUGCUUGCACCCAUGUUUUCUGAUCCAACUUAAUUACUUCUACAGAGCCAUAUGAUUUUCCAAUUGUAGGAAAAAGACAGCCUUCUUUAUCAAUCUCAUGUUUAGUAUCAUCUUUAUUUUUUCUAGACCAAUAAGACCUUGAAUUGCCACCUUCCAUAUAUAGUGAGCAAGAUUGCAGACACUCAUUCGCAAUAUAUGCUUCAGCUAUCGAACCUUCUGGACCGAACAUUGCGAGGAUCUUUAGCAAAUUCUGUAUGUCUGAUGUCAAAAGCUUUCCAAGCUUCAGAAUAUGCAGGAUGUCGAAGAACUCCAUCAUUAUUCCGUUCUUCGUGAUGCCAUCGCAUCAAUUUAGCUAUUUUUGAAGACAUAAAUAACCUCUGUAGUCUUGGUUUUAGAGGAAGUGCCUUAGUACCUUGGCUGGAAUCUGUUUUACACUGUUUUUCCAUCUAGAAGUCCCACAAAUUAAGCAUUCAUUGACAUCCUUCUUAGCAAACUCAUUCCUAAAAAGCAUGCAAUCAUUGGGAAAAACAUGAAUCUUUUUGUAAUUUAACCCCAAGCCCUCAAUAAUCUUCUUACUCUCAUAAAAUGAAGAAGGCAACUUCUCACCCUCAGGUAAUGCAUCCUUCAAUAAACCAAGCAAGGCAUUAAAAGACUCAUUCGACCAUUUGAAUAAUAGUUUUAUACGGUAUAGUUGAAGCACAAAUGAUAGUUUACUGAAUUUUUUGCACCCAGGGUAAAGUUCUUCAUUUGAAUCUCUCAUGAGUUGUUCAAACUUAUCUAUCUCUGGAUGAGGUUGAAAUCUUGAUGGAUGAGGAGCAUUUUCCUCUACAUUUGGCGCUAUCUCUUCCCUUUCACUAAUAUUAUCAUUGAACUGGAUGAAGCUUCCAAAAACAUCAUGUAUCAUUUCUCUCAUAUCAGCGCUCCUUAAAGCUUCUUGUCUGUCAUUAUUUUCUUCAGUACUAGUUGAUCGAUUGAGAGACUCUCCAUGACAAAACCAAGUAUUAUAUGAUGGCAUAAUACCAUUAACAACGAGAUGAUCAUCUGCCACUGCUCGAUUUACUUGAUAGUAGAGCACACAUUUUGUACAGGGGCAUGAAAUUGUUCCUCCAUUAUGUUUUUCACGAAAUGCAUGGUUUAGAAAAUUUUCUACUCCAUCUAAAUACUCUUUACUGACUCUACUGUAAUCCAUCCAUCUUCUAUUCCUAGAAUUCUCCAUGAUUGUUCAAGAAAUGUCUUACUUUUCUGCAAUAACAAAAAAAUAAAAUUUAGCAUGAAAGACAAAAUAAUCAACAUGGUAGUUCUAGAUAAGGUGUUUAAGCUUUUGUUAGCCAUGUCUAAGCUUACCAAUAGAGACAUGUCUAAGCUUACCAAUCAAAUGAAGCUAAAUAUUUAUUGGAAGCAACCAAGAAAAUGUUACAAACAGAGCAAUCCAAUGCGAAAAUUGAAGCCAAGAUUCAAGAGAACAACAACAUCUAUAACACUUCAUCAGCUUCAUGUGAUCAUGAAACAGAAACAAGGCAUGAUCACAAAUCUAUUAGUGAGGGAAACAAUGCUUCUAAUUUUAUUUUUUUUGAUGAAGUAAAUGUUCCAUUGAAGGCAUCAAGAAGAUGCAAAUUAGUUACAAAAGUAGAAGCAAAAACAGUUGGUCUGCUGGCUCAAGUACAAUUAUGCUAAAACUAAGGAGCCAAAUUUCGGUACCAAGUGACGAUUCAUCGAAGAAACCAUUCACAAGAAGCUGAAAAUCCACACAUCAAACGAGGAUUCAAAGGAUUUGUCGAAAUUCCCAAAAGGUUGUCAGAGCUAUUAGUUCCAAAAGCAGACAUUGGGGUACAAAGUUGGAGUGCCAAAAAGGCUCAACUUAGGAUAUUACUGAAACAAAAGUGUCCUAUCCGAUCUCUUCUAACAAGUUGAUAAUAAUUAAUUAUAAUUUUUUUUAACUUUGGAGUGUUAUUCUGUAUGGUUCAUCCAAACAUACUAUUACUGAUCCAAUUGCCUUUGGAUACUACAAACAAACCAAUGGCUAUGCUGUUGGAAGUUCAAUUGUUGGUAUGCCUAAGAAGACAACAGUAUGGACUACAAACAAGAACACUCAUAUUGUCCCAAGCAACGUUGUCUUGCUCUUAACUAGUGAUGGAAGGCUCACUAUGCAAGUAGGUAGCCAGGAAAUCUCUGUCAUCAAUCCAUCUCGAGCCAUUGCUUGAGCUUCCGUGCUGGACACGAAAAACUUUCACUACUAAAAAAAUAGUGUUUAGCGACGGAUAUUAGCGAUGAACAAUAUUCCGUCACUAUAUAAUGACGGAUUUGCGACGGAAUAACCAUUUUGUUGCAAAAUUAACAAAUAAAUUUUUGUUUUAUAAUAUAGCAACGGAUUUGCAACGGAAUAUUUAAUCUAUCGCUAAAUAUUAGCGCGAAAGUUUGGCGCCCAAAAUUGCCUACGGAUUUAGCAACAAAUUAGUUGUGAGAAAUUUUAUUAUUAUUUAGCGACGGAAUUAGUGACGGAAAAAAGGUCGCUAAACCUUUAAAUAUAUUAUUUAUAAAAUUAUAUUAAAUAGUGACGAAAAAAUCCGUCGUUAGAAUUUAAUGUGUAUAAAUAUAUUUAUUUGGCAGUGACGAAUGAUAGAAUCCGUUGCUUAGUCCGUUGCAAAAAUUUCUUUAUGUCAUAUAUUCUAGGGCACAAUUUUAUUUCAACAUUUUCACACUCCAUCUCCACCGAACACUCCAUCUCCAUCUGAGAAAUAAGCUCUCAAUCUCCAUCUCCGGUCGAUGAAGUGAGCUCUCCGUCUCCAUCUCCACUGAACAUUCUUCUUCAUCUCUCCAUCUUCGAUAGAUGAACUCUCUACCGUUUGUGUUUAACUCCCAUUUUCCCUCUCUUUUCAAGAGCUCUGCCUUUCAAAGUUUCAAGUAAAUCUUCCAUUAACAAGUAAGUACUCUCCGAUCAAUGAACUCUCUAGGGUUUAGUUUAGUAUUCUAUUUUGUUUUGGUGACAAUAGUUGUUGUGCAAAAUUAAACCUGAUUUAUGUGCAAUAUUUGAAAUGGGGUUUCGUGAGUUUCUAACUCUCAACUUAUUAAGCUCGAAGUAAGGUUGAAAUUAUUUGAAAAUAGGAGUUUAGAAGGUUGGGUGUACUGAAAAUAGGGUUUUUAAAGAACAGGUUAAAUGAUUUUCUGCAAGUGUUUGAGGUUCCAGUUUUUAAAUUUUUCUUAAUUCAUUUUCUAUUGUUCGAUUAUUAAGAAUGUGAAAGAUGUCAGUGAUUGCGCUAAGGAGAUGUAUAGGCUGGCCAAAGAAUACUGGGUGAGGUGAUUAGACUGUACAUGGCGUACAAUCGAGUCAGUUUUUCGGGGACAUGACGCACCAUAGAUAGGAGGUUUUGGAGGUUAGGUAUUCGAGUGUUGUGUCUGUGAAUUCCAAUAGCAUUAGCUCUAAUCUUGUGGUAUCUUGUCCUUCGAUUCAUGUUAGUUNNNNNNNNNNNNNNNNNNNNNNNNNNNNNNNNNNNNNNNNNNNNNNNNNNNNNNNNNNNNNNNNNNNNNNNNNNNNNNNNNNNNNNNNNNNNNNNNNNNNNNNNNNNNNNNNNNNNNNNNNNNNNNNAAAGUUUAUGCAAUGUAUACUCGAACUUUAGGAACAUGUGGUUCAUACCAAGUUUAUUUUUUGCGAAUAGUUAAUUUAGACAAUCAAAACUACUAACUAGUCUAAUUGACUUUUGUGAUCUUAAUUUGAAUAAAGUAUGGAACAUUUCAAAGAAAACUUUCCAAUAUUCAUUCAAUCCCAUAUUGUAGUAAUGAAUGAAUGAUGGUUUCAAGAUCAUUUGUUGUUUUCUUUGGUGAGGAAAAAAAGGGAUAGAAAAUGCUUGCUAUCAAUUAUCAAUUGUAUGUAAUUAUCAUGAUUAUUGUACGGUAAAUGUAUUGUAUACUGCAAAUUUUGGAGUAAAGAUCUUGAUAAUUUGUGUAUACUUGUGAAAAUCAAAAAGUGAGGAGGCUGCAAAACAGGCAUUGAUAUACAGUUACAAGCAGGCAACUAUUUGGAAUCUUCUUUUUCUUCUGUUUUUUAGAUAAGACAUUUAAAAAGAAUAGUUGCUUUUUCUGCAGCUUGAUAAUGCUAUAAUAUAACUGUAAGAAGUGGAAUUGUGCUCUAAAGUUACGUAUUUGAAUCAACUUACAUUGUCACCAUUUCUUCAUAAUUGCAAUCCAACAAGACAAGUAAGUGGGAACUAACCAAGAAAUAUAGCUGCUGCUUGCUCUUUCUACAUUAAGAGUGUGCCUCAUGACACCAAUCUUACGAGAAACAAAUUUGCAGAAUGUAGUUACUAAUUCUUUGUGUAAAGCUUCUAAUAGAAGUCCAUGGUUCUUUUAAUAAUUUGUUCCUUAAUUUAAUAUGAUCUGUUCUGAUAGAAGUCAAUGAUAGCUAUUACACUCUUGUAGUUACAGGCAUCAAUUCUUUCUCUUUUAUCAACAAGAUUUUCAGCGGCAAUUUUAAUACUUCAACACACUUUCACUUUAUUGAAAAGCAUUUCACUGAUCAAGUAGCUGAACUUGAUUUUGUACUAGUGAUAACUGUUUCAUUCUAAUUUAUGUUGUUGCAAUAGUUCUCAUUAUUAUGGGUUAUGCUUAAUUUGUUGUUUCUCUAUGAUUUGGUCUAACAACACAAUUAUAUUUGUAUAUACGUAUGGCUCGAGGAAGAGGUCGUGGCAAGUCCUCAGGUAGAAGUAAUCCAGCCUAUUUGUGUAAGCAAGCCAACUAUUCCCAUGCCCACUAUAGUAUCUUCUCAACAAUGUGCUACCCCAACUGUUCAAACGUCAGCUCAAAAUACUACCCCAAUCAUCUCUGAGACAUCACCAGUUGCACCAAAUCAAAGCAACACAAUAGGUCAGGGUCUAGCUCAAAAUACUAUCCCAGCCAUCUCUGAGACACCACCAGUUGCACCAAAUCAAAGCAACACAAUAGGUCAGGGUCUAGCUCAAAAUACUAUCCCAGCCAUCUCUGAGACACCACCAGUUGCACCAAAUCAAAGCAACACAAUAGGUCAGGGUCUAGCUCAAAAUACUAUCCCAGCCAUCUCUGAGACACCACCAGUUGCACCAAAUCAAAGCAACACAAUAGGUCAGGGUCUAGCUCAAAAUACUAUCCCAGCCAUCUCUGAGACACCACCAGUUGCACCAAAUCAAAGCAACACAAUAGGUCAGGGUCUAGCUCAAAAUACUAUCCCAGCCAUCUCUGAGACACCACCAGUUGCACCAAAUCAAAGCAACACAAUAGGUCAGGGUCUAGCUCAAAAUACUAUCCCAGCCAUCUCUGAGACACCACCAGUUGCACCAAAUCAAAGCAACACAAUAGGUCAGGGUCCAGCUCAAAAUACUAUCCCAACCAUCUCUAAGACACCACCAGCUGCACCAAAUCAAAGCAACUCAGUAGGUCAUAGCAACACAAUUGCUGAAGGCGAUUCCAGUAGUAACCAUUCACGGACCCGUAUUUUUCUAACUUCUGCAGGGUUAGUCCGUUCUUUUACUUUUAUCCUUAUAACCUUUAUUUACUUACGUUCUCUGUUCCAACUGUUGUUUUAAGUAGUCAACAAUACUAGUAUAUAGACAUACACGUCAUAAACAUGAAAUGCCAAGAAAGAAAAGAACUUAAGAAAUAUUGUAUCACAGAGUAGUUACUGUCAACAUAGAUAGAAGAUGUAUUUUUUUCAAACUUCUCUCAGUGUAUUUGAGAAUUCACUUUCUAUUUGUAAAGAUCUGAUCUUUUCACUACAAUCAGUCUUGGAAAUGUCCAAAUUCUCUAUAUCCUCACUCACUUUGCACACAAGAUCCGAUCUUUGCACACACAUUUCUAUCUAUACCGAUUUUAACAGGAAGAAAAUGGUAUAUAUUUUUUUCACUUUAUUUUCUGCAAGUUUUUAGGUGAUAAAAAGUUGUUGAAAGCUUUGUGAAGGAAUAGAGAAUCAGCAGCCAGAUAUAAUUUGAGUAUUAUUUUUGUUAGAACUUGUAGAUAUAGUUUGAGAUACUUAUAUUACUUUUGAUUUAAUGAUAACCAAUCAAAUAAUGUCUUUGAAUGUAUACAGAUUGGAACCUUCUAAAACAUGCUCGAGUUUCAUAUCUAAGUCUUUCAGAAAUGAUGUUGAUUCCAAUGGAAUCAAUUGGAAAAGUGUCUCAAAUGAUGUAAGAGAUGGUUAUUUUGGAGAAUUCAAGGUUUAACUUUUAGUCGUAAGUGAGUUUACAAAGUGUAUUCACAAUUAUAGAUAUGAUAUAAAUGUAUUACUUUUAAUCUUUUUUCAAAAAUAAUUCUAUUGGGAUGUUUCCAUUAGUGAAAGCGAAGUGACGAGACACUGGUAGGCUAAGGCGGCAGUAAAACUACAGGAAUUUCAUUUCAAAAAUAAAAGGAGAAGGAGUUAGGCCAGGUUUUGUACCUGAGCAUGUGUGGGAAAGAUGGAUGGAACUUUGGGAAAGUGAUGAUUGUAUUAAGAAGUCAAAAAUAAAUGCAAAGAACCGUUGUGGCGGCCAUGAAACUGCAGCAGGGACUCACACAGUCGGCUCUAUCUCAAUGGGAGAAUAUCACAAAAGACAUGUAAGUACAUAUUUCAUGAACUAUAUAAGUAAAAAUUUUACUUUCUCUACACUUGUAUCUAAACAUAUUACUCAACAAAUAUGAUUGUAUCUAUAAAUUAAAGUGAUUUUCUUUUGUAUAGGCUAUUGAAAAGGGUCAAGAUUCAACACCAAGAGAGUUACAUUCACACGUCCAUACGCAUGGUCAUGAUGGAAAGUCUUUUGUUGAUGAGCGUUCUCGCAUUGUUCAUGUAAGUUCACAAUCUUUAAAAUAGGGAACUUGGCUGAAAAUGAAAAGACACAGUUAAUGUUGGUUGCUAUGGCAUUGCAGCCUAUAUGAUUCACCAACUAUUACAACUUUUCUUUCUCCUUAUUGUGUAAUAUUUGUUGGUUGUUGGUUGCUUGUUACUGGUAUGAGUAUGAGUGCUGGUUGUUGGUAUGAGUGUUAAUGUUGGCUUGUAUAGUAUUCAGUUUGUCUCUGGCUUGUGUUAUUUUGGCUUUUGAUUGUCUUUGCACUAGUAUAUCUUCAAAAUUCAUUUCUUUGGAUUCUGUCUUUGCACUAGUUGGUCUUCUUGGAAAACUGCCCUGGAGUUCUUGUUCACAUGUUGGUCAUUCUAGAAUAAACUUUUAUUUUGGAGGAGCAUCUCUUCACAAUAUUCUAUAAUUCAAUGGCAACUGUCUUCAUGGAAUGGAAUGGCAACUGUCUUCAUGUUAUCUAGAUAAAGCAUCAGCUCAGACCCCUUCUUGUAUUGAACCUCAUAGUCCAACCCCAAUAGUUUUGGCAGCCCCUUUGUUGAACAACAACAGUUACUCUUUUGAACAACAACAAUUACUCUUUGGUCUCAAAUUCAUUAGUCUAGGCCAAUUCAACAUUUGCUUGGACCUUUUCUGGAUCAGUUGACACCCAUUUAACAGUAACUACACUUGGAUCUCUUAGCAAAAAGUAACUCAACCUGAUAAUAGCUUUUGUGUUUAUAUAAAGCUAAUAGUCCCCUUGGUUACUAGUUUAUUCCUUUCAGUAGUUGAGCCUAAGUCUAACUACUGAAUGUUUGGAGUUUCAAGCAUUAUGCAUGAUCAAGUAAUCACUUAGCUUUUGCUUCAAAGAGUCAAGUACAACUGGUAGGUUGAAUGGUAGUUCAUACAUUUCCUUGUUUUGAUACUUAUUUGUAACUACCGAACCUUCCUCUCAAAAAAUACAUAAGCACAUAACCAAGAGACUCCAGAUCGUCUAUUCUGCUUUGUUCUGCAUACAAGUAAGAGAGGUGAUUAUGUAAAAUUUAACAUACUACUAGGUACUUGGUGUGAUAUCAUCCUCACUUACCAACUCCAAGAUGGGUGUUAACACUAGCAUAACGUGAUGUUCCUGUUGGGCUGGAACAACAACACAUAUUAUUGAUCAACUGCACAUAUUAUUAUAUUGUAGAAACUUCUUAUGUAGUUAUGAAUUGUUAAGGCUUGAAAUUUGAAGGCUCAAUUUGUACAUUAAUGCUAAUGCUUAAAAGGUUAUGCAUGUUUUUGUAUUGNNNNNNNNNNNNNNNNNNNNNNNNNNNNNNNNNNNNNNNNNNNNNNNNNNNNNNNNNNNNNNNNNNNNNNNNNNNNNNNNNNNNNNNNNNNNNNNNNNNNNNNNNNNNNNNNNNNNNNNNNNNNNNNNNNNNNNNNNNNNNNNNNNNNNNNNNNNNNNNNNNNNNNNNNNNNNNNNNNNNNNNNNNNNNNNNNNNNNNNNNNNNNNNNNNNNNNNNNNNNNNNNNNNNNNNNNNNNNNNNNNNNNNNNNNNNNNNNNNNNNNNNNNNNNNNNNNNNNNNNNNNNNNNNNNNNNNNNNNNNNNNNNNNNNNNNNNNNNNNNNNNNNNNNNNNNNNNNNNNNNNNNNNNNNNNNNNNNNNNNNNNNNNNNNNNNNNNNNNNNNNNNNNNNNNNNNNNNNNNNNNNNNNNNNNNAUAUUUUGAACCAUCUAUGAUAUUAUUUUAUAUGUUGAUUAAUUUUGGGGUAUUUAGCAAUUUAGUUUAAAUUAUAUCAGUAGUGUAUAUUUAAAACAAAAUAAAUCAAAUUUACAAGAAAAAAAUUUAGCAACAAAUAUAGCGACUAUUUUGUCGUUGCUACAUAAAGAAAUGCUGGCAACGGACAAAAAUUUUUGCGACAAAAUAUGUUGCGACGGAUUAGCGACAAAAAAUCUGUCACGAAUUUAUCAAAAAUGACGAAAUGAAUUAUGCAAUUAGCAACAAACAAUGUAAAUAUAAUGACGGAUUAUUCCGUCGCUAACAAGUGGUGACGGAUAUAUUUCGUCUCUAAGACGUCGCUAAACUUGUGACGGAACACUUUUUUCGUCACUAAGAGAUUAUCAACGAGCGAUAUAGUAACAGUCAAUAAUCCGUCGCUAAUCCGUCACUAAACCUAUUUAGCGACGGAAUAUCAUAGAUUAGCAACGGAUUUCAUCCGUCGGUAAACGCUGAUUUUUUUGUAGUGUUUGUGCUCUAUGAUUUAGAUCGCAAUGUCGUUUGGCGAAAUUUUGAUAAUCCAACAAACACAAGUUUACCUGGUUAAAUCAGGAUUUUCUGCCUCAAAAUGCAAAAUGAUGGGAACCUUGUUUAGUACCUUGUCGAUACAACAAAUAGUACCCAAUAUGCUUACUACGCAACAGACUUGCACAAUUCCACUAAUAGGCUAAGAAAUCUAACCAGAGGAGGCUACGUAGAGAAAGGACCACCAUCUAUAUGCUGAAAAUCUAAUACAAGUAGUGCUUAGCACAACACACAAUGCACAGAAUACAACUCUCGCAGCAAACUACAACACAUUACAAUCCUCAUAUAUCACAAUUUCAACACAAAACAAUCAUUAUCAUCCAAUCACAUUCAAGACAAAAGAAUCAGAGCGCAUCGGCAUCAGAUGGGAAUGGAGGCGUACCUUGAGGCGGUGACAAAGGGUUAGAAAUCGAUGGCGGACGAAGGAGACGGAGAUGGAAACUACGAAGUCGAAGACGAAGAUGAAACUUCAGAUCAAUUUUGUGAGCUCAGAGCUGUUAAUUCAUAUGGGAAUGGAGGCGUACCUUGAGGCGGUGACAAAGGGUUAGAAAUCGAUGGCGGACGAAGGAGACGGAGAUGGAAACUACGAAGUCGAAGACGAAGAUGAAACUUCAGAUCAAUUUUGUGAGCUCAGAGCUGUCGCUUCAGAUGGGAAUGGAGAAAGAGAGAUCGAAAAUUUUGGAAUUUGGGAAUUUUGUGUAAGAAAAAGUAUUUAUUUUAUUGAAUGAAAUAGAAUUUAGCUUUUUUAUUAGAUUUUUUAAGUAAGUGUCGUUAAAAAGUUUACUUUACCGGCUAAUGGUCAAUUGCCCCUAAAUAAUUAGGUUUAAAACAUAUUUAGCGGCACUUAUAUUAUUGCCAUUAAAUAAUUGCCGCUAAAAGCUAACUUUGUGGUAGUGAUUGUAUCCACAUGAAACUCCUAUUGACUAUAUGCAAACUUUUUCCUACUAAACCUCUAUUGAUCUUUUGACAUAAAAAUUCUACAAUUGAUGAAUUCACAAAGCUUUGCUUCACACAAAACAAAGAGGAGAAUAAAGACCACCAGUUAUGUUUUUUUUAAAACUAAAGGGGAUAUUAUGUCGAAUCAUAACUAUAUGAUCAUUCAAGUCUCACGCUUUAUUUUGUUCCCACACAUUAAGAGCGUGUUUGGAUUGACUUUUAGUUUUUGACUUAUAAGCCAUAAGUUAGAAUUUCUAACUUAUAGCUUUUGACUUAUUUUAUUCAUUUUAGCUUAAAACUAAGUGCUUGUAAGCACUUUUUAAAUUUAUCCAAAUACACUCCAGAAGUAGUUAAAAGCUAUUUUGGCUUAAAAGAACUUAAAAUUAGCUAAUCCAAAGAGGCUCUAAGUCAGAAUCUGAUACUAUCAUACUUACCAUUACAACUCUCCAAGCACGCAAUCACCCAACACUGUCAUGGAACUAACACCAAAGAAGAAGUAAUCAACACAAAGAAACAAGAAAUUGGAAGAAGAAAAAACUAUACAAAGAAUAGUACCUUCAUCUCAUCAGAACUUUACAUAGAACUUCCUUAAUCACUCUGAUAAAGGGAGAUUAUAGAUGAUGCAACACACCCCGUAAGUAAGUUUUACUCUCUUUUGUGAGUGGAGACCCAUACCAGUAUCAUGUUCUUUGAGCUUGCAAGAAAGAUGAUGGACAAUGUACAACAAAUAGUGUGCAUCAGUUCAAGCAUAAUGCACGAUUUUAGCUAGUAGUGGAUGUUGCCUCCAGUCUUCUUUCUACAAUUUUAAUAAAUAAUAGAACUGUAGGCUAUUAUCCAGCUCAACUAUAGGUACAAUGCACCAACACUACUGUAUAGCAUGUUGGUCGUAUCAUGCUCAGAUCACUGAAGUGUCCAUCGAAAAUCAUGUCUGCUGAGGAUUAGCUAGUUUCUAAUGAAAACAAAGUAGAAAAUUUGAUGCUAUAUAUAAAGGAGCAAUUAGCACCCAAAUCAUUAUUUAACUAGAUAACUUAGUGAGCCUAAUUUCUUCAUAUAACUUCUGCAACAUAGUUUGCUAAAUUACUACACUUAAAUAAAUUACCAACUCCAAUUAGUAAGAUGUCAAAAGCAUUAGAUGACCAGAGAAAACUAAACAAGACCUCAUAAUCAUAUUUCUAAUGCAAAUAGUCUAUGUUGCUCAGACUCUCCAAAAAUGUGGCCAUACCCGUGUUGGAUCCUUCAAUGGCCAUUUGAAGCACUGAAUCGGAUUUAACGUGAAAGAAACAUGAUAUGGCCAAAACAAAUUGAAGGAAACAAAAGACCUUAUGUCUAAAUUAUCAAAUGACAACCAUGUUAUUCAAGAAAGAAACAAGCACAAAAAUAGCUAAUCAUGUAUAAACUAAAGAAAACAUCUAAGCAACUCUAUGAAUCUAACAGAGACUAGGCUCAAAUCCACAUUGUUGCUCAGGUAGUGAAAAUCUGGGCAAGUCAUGACUACAAAUAUUGAGUACUCGCGAAUCAUCGACCAUUCGAAUUGUCACCCCAAGAUGAGUAUUGCAUACUUUCCUAAAAAUUUCAAUAUCACCUCAAAUAGUUUUUCAAACGUCUAACUAACAUAUAACAUCGAGGAACCAGGAUGGGUAAUGCACUUAACUAAAAUUUGUAACCUUGAACAAAACCCAAUAGUGUACUAUAGUUCAGAUCAAUAACAUCAUAACCUAAAAAAACCAGCAAAACAACAAUAUCACAACAGAUUAAUCCCCAAAAGAAACAACUGCUUAUCACUGGCAGCAAACAAUUCUUUACGUUUAGAAAGGAACAUUGGUUGGAAGGUGCAGAACAAAAAAAAACAUGAGUUGGUGAGUACAAUGAAGCCAUACAUGUUUCUAUUCAAAGUAGAAAAUAUAGGUUUAUUGCAAUUACGAUUGUGAACGGUAAACACACAGGACUCUAGGAAUUUUUUUUAUCUUUAUUCGAGAAUCGCACACGAUGAUGUACAAAAAACUUCAAGUCCCUAGCUAAUUCUUUCCACUAUUGGGCAAAGAAAAUUGAAGAUAACCAAAAUACAAUCUAAAUGCACUACUUCAUACAAACACUGGCAGAUAGAACUCUCACAAAUGGAAGUUACGACGAAACACGAACAUCGCCAUGAAAUUGCUGAUGCUGAAAUCGGCGAAGAAGAUCUUCUCUUCGUUUUCAACUCCAGAUGGAUGAUGAUAUGAUCAACUCUCUUUCAAAAAAUGCCCUCUUUGAGUUCCAGACUGAAAGUUUACGAUGAAGACAUCAUCUCCAAGAACAUUGUUUCCCAUAUAGUCCCUAAGGAAUUGUUAAAGGAAGACGUCAUCCCCAAGAACAAAUAGUAGGUUGGGUGGAAAUACUUACCCAAGAUUAGACAACACAGUCCCUUGUGCCAUCGAGGGAUAUUUCAAUGAAGAUGCAGAGGCAAAAAGCCCUAGGCUUAUCAAAUUAGGGAGGAGGCAAAUUUUUGUGUGGGGGAAGGGGGGAUGAUAUUUUUCUAAAACUAAAAG